rnacentral:lncRNA from 1 species
AUGAAUCUUGUUUCUCUUUGUCUAAUUUUUAAUUUUUAUUGAAUCAAUUGUUCCCUAAUUUUGGUUUUUGUAGAUACAAUCAUGGAAAAAGAUGAAAACCAUUGAUUAUUUUUUCAAAAGAAAGAUUGAUGAUGAAAAAAAAAUUUGUUUUUGUUUUUUUUGUAAGAAUGUUAAUUUUAAUUGAACUUGCUUUUUGUAGAUACAAUCAUGAAAAAAAAUUGUUUUUUUUUUGUUUUUGGAAAAAUCUUGUUUCUCUUUCUCUUCCCUUGUUUUUACCUUGAUUACAUUUAGUUAUUCUUACAAAAUACUCUUCUAGCCUACUUGAACUUGCUAAUGAGAAGUGUUCAAUAUUUAAGCUUGCAUUUGUAAAUUGUCUGCCCAUUAAAAAUAAUAUAACAAUUACAUCACAAUUUUGCGAAAUAUUACACAAAAACAAAGAAAAUAUCUUUGAGAUAGAUUACAUUACAUGACAUGAGACGAACAAGAAAAUGAAAGAUUCAUCAUGUAGCGCGAAAUCAGCAAUUGAUGUUUAAUUGAUCUGGAUCUUGAAAUGCAAAAGAGCAGAAGUGCCAUCAAUUCCUUUUGCUCUGAAGUAAUCCACAUAUUCUUUUGCUGUUGUGCCUCUAUACUUGGCUGGAUUAUCUUUCGAAAGCAACUCCUUGAUUGGUUCAAUAACUUGCAAGGUCUCAGUCAUAAAGAACGAUGCCACUGAUACUCUUGGAUCAACCUUGUUUGCCACCACCUUGUGUCGUGAACUCACAAACUUGUCAUUUGUAACUAGCUAAAUUAUUCCAUUGAUUGUAAUCAGUGUCAUAUUAAAAAAAAGUAGGGUAUGCAAGCAGCGGAUGAGCAUAUGUAAUAUUAUUAUAACUUUUUAGAGUCGCCAACUCCCACAUACUCUACACCUUUCAUCCGGAACCCUCAAUCUUUGGUUGAGGACAUCUUUAUGUUAAUUCCUAAUACCCUAGGGCCAUAAGUUCUUUGGUAUGAAAUAUUAAUAUUUAAUGAGUAAUUUUUUUCAUAAAAAGAUCUACACUUCAUAUAAAAAAGAUUAAUUGAUGCAGUUGCAUACCAAUAUUGCAACGAUAUUAAGCUUGAGAUAGAGAGAAAUGCAUGCCUGUAAAAGAUCUCCAGCAUUCACUAUAAGAGCUCCUUGUUUAGGAUGAACAUCGAUCCAUUGGUUUUGAUACAAGAUCUUAAAGCCACCAACAUGAUCUUGUAGAAGAAUCGUGAUGAAAUCGUAGUCAGUGUGGUCGGGGGCGCCUAUUGUUAACUCUGGUUGUGGGCAGGGAGGAUAGUAAUGACCGAGGACAGCAAGCCCUGCGCCACAUCCCAUGUCUAAAAGGUGAUUUGGGUCGAGCCCUAGAGCCUCUGACGUCAACUUCAAUAGACAACUUCCGAGUUCUAUCACUUGUCUAGAGUACUCCGAUAAAAUAUCUCUACAGAUAAAUCCCAAGGAAACAAAAAUAUGGAUAGUUAGAAUUUGCAUUUGAAUUCUGUCUCCAUAGUUAUAAUCACGUCAUGUUAAAAUAAUUACAUGUAUAAUACUAGGAUCGACAAGCUUUGCGGAAAUUAACAAUUAGAGUACAGUUAUUUUAUAAUAUCAGAUUAUCCAUAUUUGAUGGUUAAUAUAUUAGUCCGCAAACAUUGAAAAUUUGAAAUAAAAUCCAGUACUUUUGAAUUUUGAUGUUAAUUUGCAAGAUUUUUGGCAACUAAUGUGAUGCUUAUAAUUAAAAUCCAGGUUUAUUUAUUAAAAUUGGAAAUAAUUGGAAAUAUCAAUAAAGUAUAUCAUCAUGCACAAUUGGAAGCACUCGGCAUGAUUCCACUUCGUUUUUAAUCUUAAAACUGUAUUAUGGAAGGAGUUCGAGGUUCUUGUGGUUGGUGCGAUUUUUAUUUUCCUAGUGUUUUUUGAUUUGUCGAUCAUGUACCUGAACCAGAAAUAAUUGGCAUGAGGGAUGGCUUGAUUCAAUCAGUGUUAUCAGUAUAAUUAACCUGUAUGCUAAGCAAGGUGCAUUAUAUAGCGGACGUUUAAAAUAUUUUUGCACAAGUCACAAGUUUUAAUGGCAAUGAAAAGGAAAUCCCAUCACUGGUCGUGGGUUUUAACCCUUAUGUGAACCUGGGUCACGAAAAGAGCAAUGUUGAUUGGAAUUUCGAUGUUAAUGAGAAGGGUAGACGUACAAUGUCUUAUGUGAUGUGUUUGGGGAAGGGGAGUUGUGAAUCACAAAAUGGUUCCACAUCGAGAAGAAAAAGAUCAAUCUUGAUCAUAAUAUCUUCUUGUGUGGCACUUGGUAAUAUUUGUGAAGUUCUUUGUAUCAGUUAUGCAAUAAUGACGGCUUCAUUGAUUUGGAGAUUUUGUAUGUUGGUGGUAUUUGGGUUUGGUUGUAAUUCAAGUCAUCUAAAACUUGUCUAAAGUUUGUAUCAGCAUUCAAACGAUGUUCAAGGAGAUGAGGUCGUUACUCGGGUCAAGGAAAGUAUGGUUUGGGUUGAAAUUGAUGGGCUUCAUUUAUUAGCUUGGAGUUCAAAUGUAUUUAAUAAAAUGUAUGGGCCUCUUUGAGGGUGUGCUAGGUGGGUAACCGCACAUGACCCAUAUUAUAUAGAGGGGCGAUUUUACAUACGAUUCAUUAUGUUGUCCAACUAUCGACAAUCCGGUAAUUCAAAAGACAAAAGUUCAUGUUUUGUUCCAAUUCUAAGUGCUCCCACUACAAUUAAACAUUGCAAUUAGACCUGACAAUGGAGCGGGUUUGGAGCGAAUCGAUCUCGAUUCAAACCCUUUUAACAAAUUUCAAAAUCCGAUCCAAACCCGCUACGUAACCCGCAAGGUUUUGAAUAGUCAAAUCCAUACCCUUAUCCACCGAAUCGACAUAUAUCCAAAACCGCCCCGUAACCCGUAGGUUUUUUGAAAAAUCAAACAUAUUUUUCAUAAAUCUUAAAAUAACAUUUAUCAAAUAAAACAAAUGUUGAUUUAGAAAACAUAUUACAUACUUGAGGACUUUCGAUUGGAAUUAAAAUCAUUAUUGUAAUAACUUCUUAUUGAUUUUUGACCGUCGAUUGCAUUGAUAAAGAAUGACAAUUACGAACUUUCUUUCGGUUGAUAAAUGACUUUAUUGAUAUACAAAUGAAAUUGGUGUUUGCUUGAUAGAAUACAAAUGAAUGACAUCAUGAUUCUUAGUAGAUGAUUGGAAGACUAGAAAUCAAGUCCUCGAGACCCAUGUAAAAACAAUUUAGUCUUUGGUCUUUUCUCUUUGGACUUUCGAUUGGAAUUAAAAGUAAACUUUAGGUAGUAUAAAAUAUAAAUAUAUAAUUCUAAAAAUUAUACGGGGCGGGUUAUAAACGGAACCGAUCAAUGAUGAUCCAUACCCAACCCUUUUAAUAAAAUGGUUAGCGAGUACGGGUCGUUAACAGGUAAACGGAUAAAAAACUAUGCUCCAAACCCAUAUAAUUGUUAAGGGUUUGGAUCGGAUCAGGGUUAAAACCCGCUCCAUUGCCAUACCUAAUUGCAAUAACUCAUGUUUUACAAUAUUCGACAUAAAAUAAAAAAUUGCAUUUGGGCUAAUAAUGUGCUAAUGUAGAUUUGCGGCAAGCAAGAGCUUACGUUUUGUUUCGAUUUGAAAAUUCAAAACUUGCGGCAACUGCAAAGCUUAAGCAAUGUUUCUUAUUUUUUUUUUUGGAUUUUUAUGCCACUAUACUUCACCUCUAGUUUCUAAUUGCACUCCCACUUUUUUUUAUUUUUUUUUUUUUUUAUUUUUUUUUAUUGUCGAUUGAAAUUAAACGAGUAUUCUACUAUACAUAGUUUUUGAAUCUGAUGGCCUCUUGUAUUUAUAGUUUCGUUGUUUUUGAUGAUUAACAAAUGUAACACACAUAUGUUGAUGAUUGAAUUUCGGACUUCACAUUAGUGCAUUAUAAAAUCUGAUUUAUGUUUUCAGUGAUUUCUCUAAUUUCUAGCUCCCUCUAGUUUCUAUAAUCAUGUUCAUGUUUUGUGGCCUCUGCAUAGUUGAUUAGAAUAAUGUUUAUGAUCCAAUUCAUAGGAAUUAUGCCUCCUAAGCAUCUAUCGGGCUGUGAAAAAAGUAAAGAAAAAGAUGAAGAACUAAGAAAGUAUAAAAAUGGGGCUCAUACUAGGUUUAUCCAAAAAUAACCUCCAAGUAUCUUCUUAGAAUUAAAAUAUAAGAAUCAAAACAACGGCGAUAUUAAUUUUGAUAAUGCAGGUGUUAAUAAAGAUCAAAACUGAAGUUGUAAAGUCCUACUUACGCUCCACAAUGUCACAAUAAAGACUUAAUAGAUUGACAAUGAUAGCUAUUGAGAAUGCUAUAUUGGAGAAUAUUUAUUAUGAAGAGUUUGUGACCAACUUUGCUUCUAAGAAUGUUGGGAGAGUCUCAUGAUUCAUAUAAUUAUGUAAGAUUAUAUAUCAUACCAUCGUUCUUUUGUCCUAAUUUUUUAUAACAUUUAUGGAGUUAUCGUAGUAUAGACGGAUUUUGCUUGUACAUAAAAAAGUAUAUUUAGAGCUCCAUUUUUUUACAUGACCCUCAAGAUCAAUGGGAAGCCCCAUAUUAUAUGGGGCUAAAUGAGGGAAAGUGAUGUUCAUGGAUGACGUCCAUGAUGAAAACAUAUGUUGUGGGUGGGUUUGUAUUAACACGUCAUAUAACAAUUUCAUCUACAUGGUAUAGAUGGUUUGCAUUAUACAAUUCCGAUUUAGUAAAUUUCCUCCUAUAAUUGUUCAAGAGGAAGGCUUUUCGAAAAAUAAUUAAUAAAAUUCAUAUGGAUCUUAUAUUGGAUUAUAAGAUAAAGAUGAUAACGAAGACUUUGAGGAUUAGUGAGUAUGAGGAUGGGUUUCUAAUAUGUUUGUUAUAGAGUAUGAACUCUAAUGAAAUUCAGAAUAAAGAGAAGUUAAAUAAUGAUAUAGAGAUAUAGCAAAUCAAAGUUAAACCAAGAUGAUGUCAUUAAGAUGUCUUGGAAUCCUAAAAUCGUGGGAUCCAAACACUUGCUGAACAAGUAAAUUGGUUUAUUGCAAUGUAGCACCUGGUUCCUGGUAUGUAUUUUAUUUAAGUAUUUUGCAUUUUUGGCCUGGGACUCGGCGAGUUGAAGGCCCAACUCGUCGAGUAGAAGCGGAUUGGAUGCAGGAUUUAAAUGACGAACUCGUCAAGUCGGCCUCCAGACUCGAUGAGUAGACUCUGACUGGAAAAAACCCUAAUCUAAGGGUUUGCACCCUACUUAAGCAUCUCAUUCAGCCACCCUUCGNCCCUAUUGCUCCCAUAAACCGCCCCCUAGCAAACCCUAACUGUGUGUGUGAAGAUCUAAAGGCAUUUGUGGUGAUUUUGAUCACAAGGAAGAAGGAAGGGCCUAGAGGGAUCAAGAGAAGACCAAGGGAAUUUUAGUUUGUGCAUCUUUUGCAGUUCCUAGAAGGUAUAAAGUCAUUACCUUGCUUGUUCAUUUGCUAGAUCCCUUUUUGGGGGAGAUUUAGGGCUUUUAUAAGCCAUUAUUGGUGACCAACCAUGAUUGCAAGCAUGAUUGGGGGUUGAGGCUUCAGAUCUAGGUCCAUGAAGGAGUUACAAGGCAGAAAAGGGCUGCUUUUGCACCCAUGGAAGCCCCCAUGCAACUUGAGAGUCUCUUUUAGAGCCUUUUAGGCUCAAAGUCCCAUGCAUGCACAUAAAGUUCGUAACUUUACAUACUAGAUCAAGUUUAGGGACCUAGAUCUAUCAUUUGGACAAGAGUUGUACACCACAAAUCGAAGAAAUAGACUCAGUAUCGACNAGUCGUUCUUGGGACUCGGCGAGUCCGAGGUUAGACUCCCUUUUUCUGUUAUGGGUCAAAGAGACCCAGUGGAGUGCUGGAAAUGUUUUAGAGGGUCCAGGGGAGUGACCCAACGUAUUGGGCUAAGCCAUAGUCCUGGAGUUCAUAGGACUCGGCGAGUCCAAGGCAAUCUCCCAACUCUUGAAGAUGAACUCGACGAGUUGUUCAUACAACUCGGCGAGUCGAGGACAAGACUGGUUCUUAGGAUGAGGAUGAACUCGAUGAGUUGUUCAUACAACUCGACGAGUCGGAUGAAGGUUCAUUCGAUGCUCGUAUAGUAGGCGAACUCGUCGAGUCAUUUCUAAACUCGACGAGUAGAGACGUGGAUGAGGAAAGUUAAAAGGUUAGGGACUCGACGAGUUGGCGGCCCAACUCGGUGAGUCAGGUCAACUAGAAGUUGACAUUGAAUUUGAAUUUGACUUUGACUUUGACUAGGGCUUGGUCAGGGGUAAACUAAUCAUUUUACCUUAAGAGUAGAUAUCAGAUUCUGACUGAGUGUUUUGUGGGGAUUAUAGCCGGAGGAUUUCCGGAGCAGCAGCAGACACAUAUUUCCCGCACAGAUUAUCAGCAGCUACUCGUAUGAGGUAAGUUACCUUCCAGUAGCGGUGGGUCAAUGACCACAAUUCCGGCCCACUAGUAGGAGUUGUAUGUUAGAUGAUCGUCUUUGUGAUAUCAUCUAGGUUUGCUACUACCUGAUAUGUUGUAUGCUGGCAUGAUAUGUUAUAUGUGAUAGCAGUAGAGUUCGGCUGUUAGGACCAAAGGGUAGGUCAGGCACCCCAGAUAUGUCUGACAGUAUUUUAUGACAUGUUUAUAUGCUGGCAUGAUAUGUUCUAUGUGAUAGUGGAAGUAGGAGGGGAAUAGUCCCCAAGUUCGGUUGUUAGGACUGAAGGGUAGCUCGAACACCCCAGAUAUGUUUGAUAGUAUGUUUAUAUUAUGAUAUAUGUGAUUGUAGCAGUAGGGGGCGGAAUAGUCCCCGAGGGUCGGUUGUUAGGAUCGAUGGGUAGGUCAGCACCCCAGAAUGACUUGACAUGGGUAGUCAGCACCCCAGAACUGUUUGACACGAGUAGGUCAGCACCCUAAAAUGGCUUGACACAGGUAGGUCAGCACCCAAAAUGGCCGUACCGGGUAGGUUGGGCACCCCAGAAUUGCUUGGCAGUAUGUAUGAUAUAUGAUUGUAUGGUAUGUGGUACGAUGGGGAACUUACUAAGCUUCGUGCUUACAGUUUACAAUUUUGGUUUCUGGUACUUCUUCAGCGAAGGGGAAAGUGUUGGCGCGGUAGCAGUACAUCAUACACACACGCAUUGAUUUUCUGCACUUGAGAUAUUCUGGGAUUAUACUCUGACAUGUUGCUAUUUUAUGAUUUCGGUUUUCAGACAUGAUAUACUGAUUUACGAAAUGAUAUAUUUUUAUGUAGUUUUCUUAUGUAUGUUUUUAUAAUCAGUUAAUUAAAAUGAAAUUUUUGGACUCGAAAUUUAGGGUGUUACAAGUUGGUAUCAGAGCCCUGGUUUGAGGGAUUCGAACACACCCUCAGGGGUGUCUGGACUCAAAUCGAGGGAUUAAAAGCUUUUUACAAGAAAAUGGUUUUCUAAAAGAUAAGUUAAAGGAGUUUUGAGAAAGAACGAAGUGUGUGAUGUGCGUGACCGGCCGAGCUCAAGUAAGUAUUCCCCAAGGUACCCAUACAAGUUUAUGUUAUGUUUAUCAGCUUCAGCAGAACAACAUGCUAGAAUAGGACUAAGGAUCUAGGAAUGAUGCCUUAUCUGCCUGCUUUAUGUGUUUCAGCUUAUGAGAAUUGCAUGCUAGUAUUGAAUAGAAAAUAGUAGGAUAGCAUGUUUAGGUUAUGCCUGAUAGUAUGAGCUUAGCAUUGUAUGCUAGUGCAGUUUCCUAUUAUGAGGAUAGGAUUGCUUGAGAUCCUUCCGUUUUGUCUGAAUGUUGCUUGGUUUGUGCUAUGUGGGACUCUGAGUGAUGGGAGUUAGCUAUUAGGUGAAUAUGUUAAAGUCACAUGUGAUCAGGGUUGGAUAAUCUUAGAGGAUGGGAUUUGACCCUAUUUCGGAGCUCUUGUUUGAGUCAUAACCGUUGUAGGGAUGAGUCCCUUACUCGAAGGAUUAUCCGGACCUCGUUGUAUGUGAUUGUAUUUAGGUAAUGGCUAAUUGGAAUUACGAAGAAGCCUUCAGCAGCUGAGGACUGGUUAGGGUGGGGUCAGAGGUAUCCUAGGGCGAGCCUAAGAUGGGAAUAACAGAGAUCAGUAGUAGUAGAAGGGACUUGGUGGAGUCGAGGUGGUUCUUGAGGAAAGUACGGAUAGAUGUGAAAGGUAGUACGGGCCCGUACUACUGAAAGCAGAGGAUCCGUACUUGAAUCGAGGAAGGCUGAGGCAAGACCAGGGAACUUGUGAUGGAUGUUAUCCCUCUAGAUGUAUCAGUAUCACUGACGGUUGUCAUUAUGUAUUGCAGAAUGGUAGUACUACGUCCGAGGCCAACAGUUGGCAGCUCAGGAGAGGGAUCGGGUUCGGGCUCAGGUUCCGAACCAGUGGAUAAGAGGCUACGUGAGUUCAUCGCGUCCGAGAUCACUAGAGGUAUCCUUGAUGCGACCCCAGUCAUCUUUGAGUCGAUCAAGGAAGGGAUUGUCAAGCUGAUGAAGGAUCGCCUCCGGGCGUUUAGGAGCGACAUGGCGACCGGCCAGUCGGUAUCACGCAUACUGUCCUUUAAGGAAUUUAGGGCCAGUAGUGCACCAGAUUUCCAUGGGGCGAAGGACCCCAUUGCAGCCAGGCGAUGGAUUACAAACAUUGAGUCUGCAUAAUUGACCAGCUUCUGCCCCGAGGGUCGAAGGUGAGAUAUGCAGCAAGGUGCUUGAGAGAAAGGGCCAGAGAUUGGUGGGAGUCGGUUGGUGACUCUCUGGGAGCCUCGACUGUUGUGGCUAUGACGUGGCCGGACUUUGUGACCCGAUUCAGGGCAGAGUUUGCACCUGCAGUGGAGCUCUAGCAGUUAGCUAGGGAGCUCUUAGACAUGAGACAAACUACGGAGACUGUGGAAAAGAUCACCGCCAAGUUCCGGGAGAGGGCGUUACUGGUGCCCCGUUAUGCAGGAGAUGAGGACAUGAGGAGUACCCACUACCAUAACAUGCUGCGAGCUGACAUUCGGGCGCAUGUUAGUUUUUCAGCUUGCCUUACCCUGGAUUCCAUGAUUUCCAUGGAAAGGGAGAAGGAGAUUGAUUUGGAGCACAUCCGGAAGAGGAAGGUAGAGGAGGGGUAGGUGACUGGGGCUUCGGGGAAGAAGCCCAAGGGAUCAGAUGGUAGGCCGAAAGGCCAAUCAGGACAGGGCCGCUGCAGGAAAUGCGGCAGGCCACAUAAGGGAGCUUGUAGGCUGGCAUCGUCGGGCUGCUAUAAGUGCUGCAAGAUGAGGCACUUCAACAGGGAUUGUACCGCCCCUGCACCCACUAUUAAGACAUUCGAGUUGUUGUGUUUCCACUCCAAUUAGAGGGGCCAUAAGAAGGCCAAUUGCCCCCAGUUGGCAGUAGUGCCAGUGAAGGCGCUAGCUCCAGCGACUGUGCGGAUCACUGAUGGACGGCAGGGCAAGUUAGAGGCUCCAGUGGUGAGGAGCCGGGCCUUCCAGUUAACUACCGAUGAGUCACGCGCCGCACCCGAUGUGGUGACGGGUAUGAUUCUUUCCCUCUGAUUUAUUUAUUUGAUACUUAUGAUAUUGAUAUGUGCUCUGUGUAUACGUUUAGGAUCGUUCCAUGUGAACGGUAUCCCAGUGCAGGUGUUGUUUGACUCAGGUGCCACUCAAUCUUUUGUUUCCCUUGCACUUAGCAACAGGUUUCCUAAGUCUUUGGGCAUGUUGGAUUGCCCUUUAGAGGUAGAGAUAGUCGAUGACCGAUCGGUGCAAGCAUCAAUAGUUUUCAGAGAUUGCGUACUGAGGUUAUUUGAGGAGCGCUACCUAGUAGACUUGGUUCCCAUUCCGUUGCGUGGGAACAAGGUGAUUAUAGGCAUGGACUGGUUGAGGUAUAAUGGGGCGGUGAGAGAUUGUGCACAACAGCUAGUCCGAGUCAGGACCCCAGGUGGGCGAGAGUUAGUGAUCCACGGCGAGAGGCCACAACAUGGACCCACAUUAUGUUCAGCAACGAGAGUUAGGCGCUCCCUACAGCAGCGUUGCGCUGUGUAUGUUUCCUAUGUUAUGGAUACCCAGGAGGCGGGUAAGACAACGGUGAGUGACGUUCUGGUGGUGCGAGACUACACGAAUGUUUUCCCAGAAGAGCUUCCCAGGAUACCUCCGGAACGCCAGGUGGAGUUCAAGAUCGACCUAGUCCCUGGUGCGACUCCGAUAGCCAAGGUACCAUAUCGGUUGGAUCCUCCCGAGAUGCAGGAGUUGUCUAAGCAGCUGCAGGAGCUUCUAGACAAGGGAUUUAUCAGGCCGAGUAGCUCGCCUUGGGGAGCCCCGAUCCUAUUUGUCAAGAAGAAGGACGAGUCGCAUCGCAUGUGCAUAGACUACCGGGAGCUGGACAAGGUAACAGUGAAGAACCGUUACCCACUCUCGAGGAUUGACAACCUCUUUGACCAGUUGCAGGGAGCAUCUUGGUUCUCCAAGAUCGAUUUGCGCUUAGGUUAUCACCAGAUGAGGGUCAGAGAGGAGGAUGUGCAGAAGAUUGCAUUUCAAACUCGCUAUGGCCACUACGAGUUCGUGGUGAUUCCCUUCGGGCUCACCAAUGCUCGUGCCGCAUUCAUGGACCUCAUGAACCGCGUAUGUAGACCGAUGCUGGAUCGGUCCAUGAUAGUUUUCAUCAACUAUAUCAUGGUUUACUCCAAGACGCAGGUGGAGCACGAGGAGCAUCUGAGAGAGGUGUUGGAGACUCUGCGGAGGGAGAGCUUGUACGCCAAGUUCUCCAAGUGUCAGUUCUGGUUGCGUGAGGUGCAGUUUCUUGGGCACCUUGUCAACCAGAAUGAUAUUUUGGUCGACCCAUCCAAGGUAGAGGCCGUGAUGAGAUGGGAGGUUCCGAAGUCUCCAUCUGAGAUCUGGAGUUUCUUGGGAUUAGCUGGCUACUAUCGGAGAUUCAUCCAGGAUUUCUCCAAGAUAGUCGUACCCUUGACGCGAAUGACGAAGAAGGCUGUAGUCUUUUGUUAGGAGCCUGAGCAGCAGGCAGCGUUUGAGACACUAAGACAGAGGUUGUGCGAGGCACCAAUCUUGGCCUGCCAGAGGGCGUAGAGGAUUUUGUGGUGUAUUGCGACACGUCUAUUUCGGGUUUGGGCGCAGUAUUGAUGCAGAGAGGGCAUGUCAUCGCCUACGCUUCGAGGCGGUUGAAUCCUCACGAGACGAACUAUCCGACACAUGAUUUAGAGUUGGGGGCUGUUGUGUUUGCCCUCAAGAUUUGGUGUCAUUACCAUUAUGGGGUCCAUUGUACCAUUUACACGGACCACAAGAGUUUGAGGUACCUUAUGGAUCAACCGAAUCUGAACAUGAGGAAGCGUCGGCGGUUGGACGUGGUGAAGGAUUAUUAUUGCGAGAUCCUUUACCACCUGGGGAAGGUCAAUGUGGUGGCUGAUGCGUUUAGCUGCCAGGCAGCGCUGAUCCGAGAUAUUUGCAUGCGGAUGACAGUAGUGACUCCACCAUUGGAGCAGAUCCGAAAGGCCCAGUAGGAGGCCAUGUGUGACAACCCAAGUUAUUCCGUUACAUUUCCCCGUUACCGUUAAUGGAAUAUUCUAGUUUAUGAAAGUUCCGUUAAUUGGAGGUCAUCAAUUUAAUAAACGUUCCAUUUGUUUACAUUUAAUAUGUCGUUAAGUCGUGAUAAAAGGGAAUAAAAACACAUGACACAUAUUUCCACUAAAUUGGAAAAUGUUAGUUUUUAUUAUUAUUACCACUAAAUUGGGUGCGACCAAAAGCCCCGUUUAACGACAGUAUCGGGUAGAAUACCACUAAUCCCCGACUCGAACCCCUAUAUAAAGGUGAGUGGAGUCCAUUGGAGACUGUUUACACUCCCUAAACACUCUCUCUAGACCCGUUUUCGCCCCAAAUCCGCAACCAAACGCUUCCAAAUCGUAAGUCCGCUUACCCUAGCUUGUUUUAAACAUAUUGAUUCGUGUUUAUAGCCCAAAUAUCGGACUUAGAAGCUGUUAGAAUGGAGUUUACGGCCUAAGCUCCUCCUUAGGCUGUAAACCCCUAAAUGAGGCCAAAAUGACCCCAAAAUGUCCCUAAAGGCUUGGAAUUAAAUUGGGGAUUUAGCCUAGGAGUGUUUAAACAUUAAAACAUAAGGAUUUGGAGCAUAAAAGAGAGUUUACGGCCCAGACAUAUGCCUAGGCCGUAAACACCUCUUAAACUUGUUAAAAUGCCCCAAACACACUCCUAAAACACCCUUGGACUUCAUACAUAAAUUAGGGGCUUAUCCUUUCGGGUUUAGAUCAUUUAAACACAAGGAAUGGAAGGAUGAAAAGGAGUUUAUGGCCCACACAUGUGUCAAGGCCGUAAACUCCCCAAACCUAGCCAAAAUGUUCGUUUUUAUUCCCCAAAUGGCCUUAGACUAUUUUUAUAAAAUGCUAGGAAUGAUUUAAGGGCUUAAAACUUCAUUAAAUCCAUGAUAUAGGAGUUCAUGGCCAUGAACUCCCUUACAAGUGGUUCAUGGGCCGUAAACUCCAUGAUGGAGCCCUUAGAAGCCUUAAACCCACUCAUGCCUUUUGGAAUUGGACAUAGAAAAAUCCCACUAUCGAGAUUGAAGCCUUAAAACACACUAGAACCCUUCACCAUGAGUUUACGGCCGUGAACUCAUGGUGAUUAGUCCCUGGGCCGUAAACAUGGUGUUGAGAGUUUACUCUCGGAGAGCAAACUCCAUUCCUAAGCCAUUUGAGCCCUUAGUUGUUACCCGGGACACCCCAAACACUUAACAAGGGUGUUUUCCGCUCCUUAGGGUGCGUAAACUUGUUUGAUUAGUAUUAUAUGUACUAAUUGUAUGUAAACAUAUGUUAUCAUAUGUUAAAUAGGUCACUAAGUGUGUCCAAGUCUUUACUUGACACCGAGCACCCAACCGGCGCCUUUGUCGGANACAGGUGAGUUCAUAUCCCCGAAUUAACCUUUUAAAUGCUUUUACAUGCUUUUAUGGGGGGGGGGGGGAAUACAAGUUAAACAUGCCAGUUAUCAUAUCAAUCACAUGUGAUUGAUAACCCACAUGCACAAGAUUUUACCACAAUGUACACUAUUUAACCGAGUAGGACACUAUAAUGGUUUUUAAAAGGGAUUUCAAUUGUUUCAAAACUCUUACUUAUAUUGUUUUACCUAAAUUUGUUUUAAACUGGUUUAUGAAAGAUUCCAAAGAUUUCUAAAGGUUUUCACACUUAUUUUACAAAGAAUACCAAAUUGUGAUUUUCCCAAGAAUAAAGGUUUUUCAUCAAAGUUCCCUUUCACGACGUAUACUUUUACUUGUUAGAUACCGCUGCUUCGCUUUCAUGUAUUUUAAAUUCCUACUNAAUCUGGUUUAUGAAAGAUUCCAAAGAUUUCUAAAGGUUUUCACACUUAUUUUACCAAAGAAUACCAAAAGCGAGUUUUCCUGAGUAUAAAGGUUUUUCCAAGGUUUUCAUCAAAGUUCCAUUUCACGUUGUAUAUUUUUACUUGUUAGUUACCGCUGCUUCGCUUUCAUUUAUUUUAAACUCCUACUUGAUAACGCUUUCACUUCGUGAUACGCUUAUACCUGUUAUUGUCUCUAUUUCACUUAUACUUGUAGUCGCUUAUACCUGAUAGACGCUCUUACUUCACUUAUUGUCGUCUCUACUUCGUGAUACGCUUAUACUUGUUCGACACUCCUACUUCACUUGCGACCGCUCCUACUUCACUUGUUAGACACUCCUACUUCACAAGAAUCACUUCUACUUGAUACACACUCAGUCGUAGUUAGAUGUAUGUCUGUGCUUAUAUAGGUACAUAUAAGUAAUGAUUGAAAGACUUAGGAAGGCUCGUCCGCCCUAUUUCCUUUUCUUCGUUGAGAUGUGGUCUGGUGGGAUCGGAUGGCCGUCCGAAGGUCAUUUGAUUCAUUAGUUAUAUAUUAUGUAUAUGAGUAUGGACAUACAGGAAUGUCUAGUCAGUUCAGUUAAGAGUCUCUACCUCUAGUUCAACACUUACAUUAGAAACACACUACCCACUAUUUGGAAGUCUCUACCUCUAGUUCAGCACUUACAUUAGAAACAUACUACCCACUAUUCGGAAGUCUCUACCCACUAUUUGGGAUGCAUCUUCAGGACACGGCCUUCUCCGUCGUCUAGUUGGUAACCAGAAUCUCCUGUAGGGAGAGCGGACAUUGUGUGUAUAGAUCUAUACGGGAUUGACACCCCCGCACCCAGAUUGCUAGCUACAGUCCCGGCCUACCAAGCCAACGGGUGACAAAUGUCAUAUUUUAGACGCUUGUAGGGCGUCUGGUACUCUAGUCAGUAUGGUUAUGAGUAUCUCGGGUUACCUUAUAAUUCAUGGCCUUAAGGUAACGGUAUUUCGCCAGCAAUUUACACUGUGUGCUGGUAAUUCAUUUUCAGAGUCACACUGUUUUGACCUUAGUAGACAUAUCUUUCAUUUGAUACUGUUUGGGGUCUGUUUUUCUCUGUUUUGACCUUACAAGACGUAUCUUUCAUUUGAUACUGUCAGGGGUCUGUUUUCUCUGUUUUGACCUUGCAAGACGCAUCUUUCAUUUGAUACUGUCUGCGGUCUGUAUUCACUGUUUUAGACCUUACUAGCUGUUCCUUUCAUUUGGUACCUUCUGGGGUCUGAGUCUCUACUUGUUAGACUGAAGCAGGCGUGUCGUUCGUUCGAUACUCUCCUGGAUUCUAUGAUUCCUUUGCCUUAGUCAGCAGUCCUCACUGCUGAGGCAUAUGUUAUUUCCCUGCUGUCUCUUGCCUUCUUUAAUAAUCAAAUUCAGUAUUUUGAUAAUGAUAGCAGUUAAGGGAAAACUAAUUUUUACCACAUAACACUGACCAGUCUUGGUAGAAGGCUGCUUUUAUUAAAGAAAAUAUAGGAUUUUCUGGAAAGAACUCUAAUGCACUGUAAACACUUAAACUAUUACUUCAUAACGUUAUUUGACUAAAUGACACUAAAUACUUAUGAACUCACCAGCAUUUGUAAAAAUGCUGAUACUCGCUUUUCAAAUAACUUGUAUUCUCAGGUCAGCAUUAGACAGGUACACCCCCGGAGCUGUUGAUGAAGAUGGCUUAGUACCUUGCUGUACUUAUUAUAUUUACUUGUAUUACUUUGAUACCUUGUAAUGUAACCAUGUAAAAUUAUUACUAUUAAUGCAAUGUUUUGUUGUACUUUGAUUACUAUAUGCAUGUGUUGUGAUACUUGACAUGACGUCAUCCACCCCAGAACGUUUCCGCCGUUCCGGUUUUGGGGUGUGACACCAUGAAGGAGGAACAUCGGAAGAGCGAGCGUAUAGUGGGUCAGGUUCCCUCCUUUGACUAUGAUAGCCGAGGGUUAUUGACACUACACCGCAGAGUGUGGCUUCCAUACCACGGGGGUGUGCGCCAGGUCCUAAUGGAAGAGGCACACAAAUCCUGAUUCUCUAUUCAUCCUGAGGCAACGAAGAUGUAUAGGGAUCUUCAUCUAGACUAUUGGUGGCCCUGCAUGAAGCGGGAUGUAGCAUGGUAUGUGGAGCGAUGCUUGACCUGCAGGAAUGUCAAGGCCGUGCACUAGAGGCCACACAACAAGAUGCAGCCGUUGGAUAUUCCCAUGUGGAAGUGGGAAGAUAUUACCACGGACUUCAUCGCCAAACGUCCCAGGACCGUGCUGGGAGUGGAUUCCAUAUGGGUCAUCGUAGAUCGGUUGACUAAGAGUGCCUAUUUCAUACCGAUCCAUGAGAGUAUCUCGGCCGAGAAGUUGGCCGACAUCUACAUUUGAGAGGUGGUGGCUUAACACGGAGUGCCAGUCUUCGUGAUUUCUGAUAGGGAUGUACGGUUCACUUCCAGGUUCUUGAACAAAUUCCAUGACGAGUUGGUUACUCGUCUUCACUUUAGCACUGUAUUUCACCCGCAGAGAGAUGGUCAGAGUGAGCGGACCAUCCAAACACUGAAGGAUAUGCUGCGGGCAUGUGUUUUAGACUUCGGUGGUAGUUGGGAUACUUACCUUCCAUUGGCUGAGUUCUCGUACAACAACAGCUACCACACGAGUAUUGACCGUCCUCCCUUCGAGAUAUUAUACGGGAGGAAGUGCAGGACCCCGAUAUGUUGGGAUGAGGUUAGACAGAGGGUCAUGGGGAGCACCGAAGUGGUGCUCAAGAUGAAAGACAAGAUUCAACAGGUCCGGAGCAGGCUUCAGACUGCUCAGAGUCGGCAGAAAAGUUAUGCUGACAAACGCCGAUCAAACCUGGAGUUCCAGGUCGGGGAUAUGGUUCUCCUAAAGGUGUCACCAUGGAAGGGCAUCAUCCAAUUUAGGAAACGGGGCAAGUUGAGCCCCAGGUACAGUGGACCAUUUAGGGUUAUAGCCCGGGUGGGCAAAGUAGCGUACAUGAUGGAUCUGCCAGCCAAACUCAGUCAGAUCCACAACACUUUCCACGUCUCCCAGCUGCGGAAGUGUCUAGUGGAUGACUCAGUAGUGGUGACCUUAGAGGAUAUUCAGGACAAUGACAGCUUGAAUUACAUUCAGCGGCCUGUGGCGAUCCUUGACCGGAAGUCGAAGGAUUUGAGGAACAAGAGGGUCGAGCUGGUGAAGGUGCAAUGGUGUGACAACCCAAAAAUUCCCGUCAGUUUUAACGUCGAAAUUAGUACGUCAAAAAUUAGCCAAAUUUAUCCCAAAAUAUUUUUGACCGGAUUUAAACCCGUUGGAAUAUUUUAAAUAAUAUUCGUCAAGCGAACCAAAAUUAAGGAGGUAUAGUUUUAAAAUUUGCCGUGUUUAACGGUAGUCGUGAAAAACCCCGUUCGCGGUUGGUGUCAGGUGGACCCCCAACCAGGCCAUAAACUCCACCCUAUAUAAGGGUUGAGUGGGUUUCAUUCCAACCCUUUUCACACCUUAAGAGUCUCUCUCUCUUUACUUUCUCUCUCUACAAAUCGGGUUUGGUCCAAAAUCGCCUCUUUCAAGCCCCAAACUACUAAGUGAUAUACCCUAACUUGUUAUUUAGCUCAUUUAACUUACAAAUUCGUGUUUAAAUUACCCAAAACCCUCAAGAACAUGAGUUUACGGUCCAAGAACACUCUUGGACCGUAAACACUCAUAAAUGGGGUUUUAAUGCCCAAAAACCCUUCCAAACCACUAAUGGAGCUUAGUUAUGACUUAGGGGCUUACAUGAAAGGACUUAGAACACCAAAAUCUUAACAUAUGGGGAGUAAACACGAGUUUAUAGUCUAAGAACAUUCUUGGACCGUAAACCCAUCUUCAAGGCCCUUAAACACCUUUUUGGGUGUUAAACUACCCCUUAAACACCUCCAAAAGCUUCUAUGAGCUUCCUUGAGUGCAUAGAACCUUAUAUUCCUUCUUGAGAUGCACCAAAACAUACACAAGUGAGUCAUACUUGAGUUUACGGCCCAAGAAGAUUCUUGGACCGUUAACACCCUUACUUAGACCAUAAACACCCCCAAAGGUUGUUAAAGUGCCCUUAACACUUUGUAUGGCUUAGAAUUGGACCUAGAACUUUGUAUGCUUACCCUACAACCACCAAAACACAUGAUUCAUGGACUAACAUGAGUUCACUGCCAUAAACUCAUGUAUUUAAGGUAGUAAACUCCCCAUGAACACCUUCAUAGACCGUAAACACCUUUCCAAGGUGUUUAAGUGCCUUUAACACCUUCCUAUGCUCAUAUAAGUGACUAGAACCUUCCCUACAUAGCCUAGAACCACCAAAGCACAAAAGAAAUGGACUAACAUGAGUUUACUAUCGUAAACUCAUGUGUUUAUGGCCGUAAACUCCUCAAGGAGUGGCCCAUGGACCGUAAACUCCCUAUUGUGUCCAUUUUGAGCCCCAAUUGACUUCCUUAGCCCUUGAUUCAACUCUAGCAUGAUUCUAUGAGUGAGAUAAGACCUUUAAACAUCUCAUGACACCACUACCAUGAGUUUACGGCCGUAAAAUCAUGGGAGAAAUCGUCUUGAAACCGUAAACACCCAUAAGGGCCAUCAUUUGAAGAGUAAACUCCAAUGUGAGUCCAUACACACCUUCUAUGCAACCCUUGGUACUUCUAGCACUUGUAGGAAAGUGUUUUUAUGUAUUAAUACAUCCUUACUUGCUUAAUUAGUUAUUAAAUGACUAAUUAGAUACUUAAAUGUAUCAUUACAUGUUAAAUAGGAUUCGCGUGUGUGGUCAAGUCCUCACUUGACACUUAGCAUCCUAUACCGUCCAUUCAUCCGAAACGCCAACGUCAGGUGAGUUCAUACCCCUGAAUUAACCUUUUAAAUGUUUUUACAUGCUUUUAGGGGGGGGAAUACAAGUUAAAACAUGCUAGUUAUCAUAUCAAUCAUAUGUGAUUAAUAACCCGCAUGCACAAGGAUUUAUCACACUUUCAGCUGCUUUACCAAGUAUAAUACUAUAGAUGGUUUUCCAAAACGUCUUUACUUGUUUAAUCUUUUCUCAAAUUGUCUCUCGCACCGUAUGUUUUACUUCUAAACCAGUUACAAUAGUGUUUUAAACAAUGGUUUUCUUUACUUAUAUUGUGUUAUCAAAUUAUAUUCAAAACGUGUUUAUGAACGGUUUUCAAAGCUUGUUUUACAUAAUGAUAUCAAGUCGUAAAUUCUUAUUUUUAAAGCUUUUCCAAAGGUUUUACCAAAGUUUUCUUCUAUGCUUCUAUGCUUCUACUUCGUUAAAUGCAUGCCUGUACCUGUAUAGUUAUAUAAAUAAUGUUUAAAAGUCUUAGGAAGGCUAGUUCGCCCUAUUUCCUUUUCCUCGUUGGGAUGUGGUCUGGUGGGUAUCAGAUAUCCGUCCGAAGGUCAUUUAAACAUUAGUUAUACAUCAUGUAUACACGUAUAGACAUGAAGGUUUACAUUGACCAGUUCAUUUCCCUUGGGUAGCAAGGGCAUCCUUCCAUUCAUCAUUCAUAGAUCAGGGACACUAGUAAGUAUUAUAGGAAUAGUUAGGAGGUUCUAUUUACUCUUUCUAGUACGAGAAUUCCAAAGGAGUCAGUUCAUUCGCGAGUCUAUAUCAUUUCUCUAGCGCCUCUAAUAGAAUUCAGAAUACGAGAUGCAUCUUCAGGACACAGAUCUCCCAAUCAUCAAGUUGGUAACCAGAGUCUCCUGGAGGGAGAGCGGGCAUUGUGUGUAUAGAUCUAUACGGGGCUGACACUCCUGCACCCUGACUGCUAGCUACAGUCCAUGGCCUACCAAGCCAAGGGGUGACAAAUGUCACAUUUAUUCCGACGCUUGCAGGGCGUCAAGUACUCUAGUGUCAAUCAGUAUGCUUACAAGUAUCUCCAUGUUUACCUUAUAAUUCAUGGCCUUAAGGUAACGAGAAUUAACACUGUAUUCUUGAAACAACACUCUUAGGAUUACUAUUUGUUUUAGACCUUGCUAGCUAUAUCGUUCAUUUGAUAUUUUCUAGGAUCUAUGUUUCUUUGUUUUAGACCUUGCUAGCUGUAUUGUUCAUGUGAUACUGUAUGGGGUAUGUGUUUCUUUACUUUAGACCUUGCUAGCUGUAUCGUUCAUUUGAUACUGUCUGGGGUCUGUGUUUCUUUGUUUUAGACCUUGCUAGCCGUAUCGUACAUUUGAUACCGUCUGGGGUCUGUGUUUCCUUUUGUUAGACUGAGCCAGGCGUGUCAUUCAUUCGAUACUCUCCUGGAGUCUAUGAUUUCUUUUGCCUUAGUUAGCAAUAUUUUCUGCUGAGGCAUAUGUUAUUUUCCCCUAGUAUUUUUACUAGUGAUAUUCUCCUACUUUCUUUAAAGUCAAAUACUGUAUUUUGGGUAAUGAUAGUAUUUCAGGGAAAAUUUCUCUUUAAAACAUAACACUGUCGAGUCUUGGUAGAAGACUGCUUUUAAUUAGAAAAUAUAGGAUUUUCUGGAAAGGACACUAAUACACCGUAGAUUCUAAACUACUACUUUUUAUAAAGUUAUUUUGAAUACUUAUGAACUCACCAACAUUUAUAAAAAUGAUGAUACUCGCUUUCAAAAUAACUUGUAUUCUCAAGUCAGCGAUAGACAGGUACAUCCUAGGAGCUUUUGGCGAAGUCAGUCUAGAACCGAGCUGGAUCUAUACUAGUUUCUGUAUUACUUUAAUGUCUCUAUGAAAUGUAACUUAUGUAAAACUAUUACUAUUAAUGCAAUGGUUGUUGUACUUUGAUUACUAUACCGCAUAUGUUGUGAUACUUGACAUGACGUCAUCCACCCCAGAAUGUUUCCGCCGUUCCGGUUUUGGGGUGUGACAAAUGGCAACACCAGAAGGGCUCAGAGUGGACUUGGGAGCCAGUGGAUGAGAUGAUGGAGCAUUAACCAGAACUUUUCCAGGAAAGAGCAGCAGACUUCGAGGACGAAGUCUAAAACAAGUGGUGGAGAUUUGUAGCACCUGGUUGAUGGUAUGUAGUUUAUUUAAGUAUUGUGCAUUUUUGGCCUGGGACUCGGCGAGUUGAAGGCCCAACUCGUUGAGUAGAAGUGGAUUGGAUGCGAGAUUUAAAUGACGGACUCGUCGAGUCGGCCUCUAGACUCGAUGAGUAGACUCUGACUGGACAAAACCCUAAUCUAAGGGUUUGCACCCUAUUUAAGCAUCUCAUUCAGCCACCCUUCCUCCCUAUUGCUCCCAGAAACACCCCCCCAUAGCAAACCCUAAUUGUGUAUGUGAAGAUCUAAAGGCAUUUGUGGUGAUUUUUGGUGAUUUUGAUCACAAGGAAGAAGGAAGGGCCUAGAGGGAUCAAGAGAAGACCAAGCAAGUUCUAGUUUGUGCAUCUUUUGCAGUUCCCAGAAGGUAUAAAGUCGGUACCUUGCUUGUUCAUUUGCUAGAUCCCUUUUUGGGGGAGAUUUAGAGCUUUUAUAAGCCAUUCUUGGUGACCAACCAUGAUUGCAAGCAUGGUUGGGGGUCGACGCUUCAGAUCUAGGUCCAUGAAGGAGUUACAAGGCAGAAAAGGGCUGCUUUUGCACCUAUGGAAGCCCUCAUGAAACUUGAGAGUCUCUUUUAGAGCCUUUUAGGCUCAAAGUCCCAUGCAUGCAUGUAAAGUUCGUAACUUUACGUGCUAGAUCGAUUUUAGGGACCUAGAUCUAUCAUUUGGAGAAGAGUUAUACGUUACAAAUCGAAGAAAUAGACUUAGACAGUAUCGACUCGAUGAGUCGUUCUUAGGACUCGGCGAGUCCGAGGUUAGACUCUCCUUUUCUGUUAUGGCUCAAAGAGACCCAAUGGAGUGCUGGAAAGGUUUUAGAGGGUCCAGGGGAGUGACCCAACGUAUUGGGCUAAGCUAUAGUCCUUGAGUUCAUAGGACUUGGCGAGUGCAUGAAUAGACUCGGCGAGUCCAAGGCAAUCUCCCAACUCUUGAAGAUGAACUCGAUGAGUUAUUCAUACAACUUGGUGAGUCGAGGAUAGGACUGGUUCUUAGGAUGAGGAUGAACUCGACGGGUUGUUCAUAUAACUUGACGAGUCGGAUGAAGAUUCAUUCGAUGCUCGUAUAGAAGGCGAACUCGUCGAGUCAUUUUUAAACUCGACGAAAAGAGACGUGGAUGAGGACAGCUAAAAGGUUAGGGACUCGACGAGUUGGCGGCCCAACUAGGCGAGUCAGGUCACUGGAAGUUGAAUUUGACCUUGACUUUAACUAGGACUUGGUUAGGGAUUACAGCCGGAGGAUUUUCGGAGCAGUAGCAGAUAGAGAUUUCCCGCACAGAUUAUCAACAGCUACUCGUACGAGGUGAGUUACCUUCCAGUAGCGGUGGGUCUACGACCACAAUGCCGGCCCACCAGUAGGAGUUUUCUAUUAGAUGAUCGUCUUUGUCAUAUCAUCUAGGUUUGCUACUACCUGAUAUGUUGUAUGCUGGCAUGAUAUGUUAUAUGUGAUAGUAGUAGAGUUCGCUUGUUAGGACUGAAGGGUAGGUCAAGCAAUCCAUAUAUGUAUGACAAUAUACGAUGCUAUUUUUAUAUACUAGCAUGAUAUGUUCUAAGUGAUAUUGGUAGUAGGAGGGGAAUAAUCCCCAAGUUCGGUUGUUAGGACCGAAGGGUAGCUCGGACACCACAUUUAUGUCUGAUAGUAUGUUUAUAUUAUGAUAUAUGUGAUAGUAGUAGUAGGGGCGAAAUAGUCCUCGAGGGUCGGUUGUUAGGACCGAUGGGUAGGUCAGCAACCCAGAUGGGUAGGUCUACACCCCGUAAGAGUUUGACACGGGUAGGUCGGCACCCCAGAAUGGCCGUACCGGGUAGGUUGGCACCCCAGAAUAGCCGUACUGGGUAGGUCGGGCACCCUAGAAUUGCCCGGCAGUAUGUAUGCUAUAUGAUUGUACGGUAUGUGGUACGAUGUGGGAACUCACUAAGCUUCGUGCUUACAGUUUAUAGUUUUGGUUUCAGGUACUUCUUCAGCAAAGGGGAAAGAGUUGGCGCGGUAGCAGCACAUCAUAGACACACGCAUUGAUUUUCCGCACUUCAGAUAUUCUGGGAUUUUACUCUGACAUGUUGCUAUUUCAUGAUUUGGGUUUUCAUACAUGAUAUAUUGAUUUACGAAAUGAUAUCUUUUUGUGUAGUUUUCUUAUGAAUGUUUUUAUAAUUAGUUAAUUAAAAUGAAAUUUUUGGACUCAAAAUUUGGAAUGCUACAGGCAAAUUGGUAUAAUCUAAAGUUUCCUAAUUCAAUUGUAUAAGUCGGUAUCAAUUGUAUAUAUGAUCUCUUUAGUCGUGUUAUGGUUAUUAAGAUUGUAACACAAAGGUUUUAAGUUGUUUUCAUUUUAAUUAAAGAGUUUGUUUGAUUGUUUUGCUUUAAUUCAUACAAUUUAAUCUUGAAUUGGUAUCAGAGCUUGAGUCAAGAAGCUGUGAGAUCAAAUAUCUUACCUAUUGAUGAGCUAGGUCAACAUGUCGGAUGCAGGAGGAGGCGGAGGAGCUGCUCCGGUGAGUGUGAAGGAAAUUGGAUCGACCUCUGUUCAAUGUCAUAUGCUCAAUUAUACACAUUACAUAGUUUGGUCCCUGCGUAUGAAGGCUGUCUUAAGAAUUCAUAAGGCAUGAAGUGUAAUUGACCCAGGAACAGAGAGGAACGAAGAAAAUGAUUACCUUGCAGUGAGGCUGCUCUAUCAGGCAAUGCCAUAAAACUUAAUUAUGCAAAUCGAAGAUGUGGAGACUGAGAAACAACUCUGGGAAGCAAUCAAAACAAGAUAUGUGGAUGCAUCUUGUGUAAAGGAGGCAAAGUUACAAACCUUGAUGGCAAAAUUCGACCGAUUGAGGAUGUCUGACUCAGAAUCGAUUGACUCUUUUACAUGGAAACUAUUUGGAAUCGCAUCUAAAGCAACUCCCUUGGUGAAUCGAUUGAAGAACCCAAUAUGGUCAAGAAAUUUCUAAAAUCUGUACCGUGAAAUUUUAGCCAUAUUGUCGCUUCCUUGGAUCAAGUCCUGGAUUUGAAGGCAAUAGGUUUCGAGAAUGUUGUGGGAAGACUUAAGGCAUAUGAAGAACUGAUUAGGGAGGGGGACAACGGUGGAGAUGGUUAGGCGAAGGUGUUGUUUACGAAGUCAUCUAGUGGUGAUGGUGGUUUGAGUAAUCACAGAACGCAAGGAAGUGGAUUGAAAGGUUUUAAUGGGGCAGUGGGUCAAAUGGUCCGAGUGGAUCAAAUAGGUCCAAACAAUUUAAUCGGGCCUCGCAAUGUGCCAAACCCAAUCAAGGAAAUAAGUCCACUUUUGAUCAGCCCAAUUCCAUUUAUAACUCGAAUAAGAAUAAAACCAAGAAGGAUCGAUCUAAAACUUUUUGUUAAUGGUGUGAUAAACCAGGCCACUUUGCAUCUCAAUGUCUGAACCGAACCCAAAAAUUACAAGAAAGAAAUUUUACCAAAGUUACGAUACCGGCGAGACCAUAUUUUUACAUGAGAUUGUAUUUUUAAAUGAAGAAAAGGUGAUACCAUCUCGAUACGUCUCACAAGAUAAUGAUGUGUAGUAUUUGGAUAACAGGGCGAGUAAUCGUAUGACGGGUAACUAGUCAUUUUUCUCUAAACUGGAUGAAGGCAUAACCGGGAGGAUUAAAUUCGAAGAUAAUUCGUGUGUAAAAAUCAAAGGAAAAUGUGUUAUACUUUUCCAAGGCAAGAAGGGUCAACAAAGGUUGAUGACGGAGAUUUACUGCAUACUGGAUCUCAAGAACAAUAUUAUUAGUCUCGGACAAGCAGCCAAAACCAGGUUUGAUAUUUGAAUGAAAGACAACUACUAGACCAUGCACGAUGUCGAUAAUUACUUAUUAAUGAAGGUGCAAAAAACUCCAAACCGCCUUUAUAAAAUAAAAUUACAAAUUGGAGCACCUAUUUGACUUCAUUCGAGACUAAGUGAAGAUACGUGGCGAUGGCAAGCAAGACUUGGGUACAUCAAUUUUGAGUCAUUGAAAAAGAUGUCCAAGAAGGGUCUAGUGAAAGGGUUACCCCAAUUUGAUCAUGAUAAUCAAUUGUAUGAGUCUUGCUUGGUGGGUAAGAAAACAAGAAAGUCAUUCCCGACUAUGACGACAUACAAAGCAAAACGACCAUUGGAACUAGUACACCAUGAUUUAUGCGGUUCGAUCACGCAGGAAACCAAGCAUCAAAAUCGGUAUGUUUUCACACCAAUUGAAGCCUCUUCACACUUUAUGUGGAUUUAUCUCAUGAAAGAGACCUGGGGUAGCGUCAAGGAUUCCCCUCGUCACCUCGGAUGCAAUGAGCUCGCGCAACCUCUCAUCGAUGGGCUCAGAACCGCUGCCCGACCUAGAUCCAGAUCCCGAUCCUGAUCUUGAUCCUAAUCCUGAUCCCCCUGCUCCAAACUGUGUCACCACCAUGCUGAACUGAAAUGUCAUAAAUCAUAAUGAUCAGGAUAUGUGUAUAGGGGAUCUUCCUACUCCGGUCCUCCUUAGAGCUGUCGGAUCUAACAUUGGUUCGGGUACAGGUCUUGUGCUUUCAGUUGUACUAACCCAAUACUACCUUCUAAAUCUACAUGUACCUUUCCCCAAGGUUCUACCUGAUAACUCCAAUUCGUCCCAAAAUAAAUCAUAUCCCACAGACUACCACAUAUCACAAAUCCUAAGUUGUCCUAAGAUUUGCUCUACUCACAUCAAUCAGACCUAUCAUAACAGGUUGCCUUUAUGCAUGCAAAUUAUACACAGAAAAGGAUCAAAUAGACUUUCGAAUAAGAGAUUCUACCCUAGGACCACAAACAAACGAGGAACAGGAAAUAAGUCCAAAUCAAUCAUUCUAAGGCUAUAAGCUCUUAACCAUAUACAAUUUUAAAAGCAUACACAUUGCAAGUUUCAUACGAUUAUGAUAGCUCAAAUAUCAAUAUAACAUGACUAACACAUUGGGGAACCACUUACUUGGCUCGGCUGAUCACGCGCGUUGGACUCUCCUUUUUUACAUACUUUAAAAUUUCAAACUUUUUUUUAUUUUUGAAAACGAUUUUACCAUUUCCUUAGUUUGAGUCCUAACAUACCUGAAAUUGUGCCCGAAUCUCUCAAACCAAGGCUCUAAUACCAACUUGUAAAGACCCAAAUUUUCAAAAGAAAAUUUUCAUUUUUGAUUAACCAAAAUACUUUCCCUAAAUCAUGAAAUCCCAAAUACAAUUGUUUUCAAAUCCAUAUCAAUUACAAUUUUAUUUCAAAUCAUCAUAGUGUCCCAUAAAGUGCCUGAGAGAGAGUGCACGUCGUGCCAUCAAACCUUUCCCUUGCCCUUAGGGUCAGAUGUACCUGAAACCGAUCCACAAAUUGUAAGCUAAUGCUUAGUGAUUUCCCCCAUAGAAUACCCCACACACAACCCACAUAACACAUAUCAUAUUAUCUAUAAAAGCUAUCUCUACAACAUAAGCCAUUCAUACUAACAUAUAAGGAUGCAAUGGGCUCCUCCCAAGGUCUUAUACCUUCAUGCCAUGGGCUCCCCCAUGGUCUUUACUUAGGAAUUCCACGGGCUCCCCUACAUGGUCUUAUAUCCAACUGCCACAGGCUCCCCCCGGGGUCUUCCAUGCAGUAACAUACAUAAUCAAUUAACAUAUCAUAUAACACACAAGUAUCUAUCAUACUACACAACCUAUAUAUAAACAUACAAGGAGGCCAUGGGCUCCCCCCAUGGUCUUAUACCAUCAUGCCAUGGGCUCCCUCCAUGGUCUUUACCCAGGAAUGUCAUGGGCUCCCCCACAUGGUCUUAUGUCUGCCUACCAUAGGCUCCCUUUGGGGUCUUCCAUGCAAUUAUCAUAUAAUCACUAGCAUACCACUUAGCAUAUAACUAACUAUCAUACCAUAUAUCUCUACUUUAGCUAGUGUACCACAUAUCAUAAAUGGGCCGGCCUUGGUGCCUUAGACCCAUUGGAUGGUGAGAAGACUCACCUCUCGAAUGCUAAACUGAAAAGCUAAGAUCGGAUGUAUCCCAUGCACUGCUCCUCUUCAAAUGCCUAUAACCAACAUGUGAUUAAGUUGUCAUAAUCCCAUAAUUACCCUCAAAGUCAACCCCGGUCAAAUUCAUGGUCAACAGUCAAGGUCAGCAGUCCAUGUUGACCUCAACUCGUUGAGUGCAUCCAAUAACUCAUCGAGUUCCUCCCGAGUCCAUUCCACAGAAUCCCACAUCAACUCGCCGAGUCAACCUAGUGACUCGUCGAGUUCAUCCGAUGUCCAGAAAACUAAUGUCCAUUCAAACCCAAAACCCUAAUCCUUCACUCCACUCAUCCAGAAACCCAAAAACGGGCAAACCCUUACCCUGACUCAUCGAGUCAACUAAGGGAGUCGACGAGUUCCUUCAGUCACUUUCAUGUUCAACACUUUUCAGUGAGAUAUAAGGUCCCAAACUUCAGAUCCAACCUCUUCUAAUGCAGAUACCAUGUAAAUUUGCAAACUUUACAUGCAUGAAAGGCCCUCUAAGGCUAUAACAUCAAAGUAAGCUUGUUACAAGGUUCUUAUUGUUGGAUUAAUGUCUAAGUCCAUAACUAUAAUUGGUAAGACUUGACCCGACCCGGCAUGGUCCAUUUGGGUUGCAUACCAUCAUGCACUUGGAUAGACUAUAAUGAGAGAAAUAAGACACUUAUGGUUAUUAAUAUAUUAUAAGUUCUAGUAUAUUAAUAAUAAGAAUAAUAAGAUUAUUUAAUUAGUAUUGAUCAAGAAUUAAUCUAGGAUUAAUUAAGUGAUCAAAAGAAGACUAAUUAAAUAUAUGGGUUGAUUGUGUAAAUCAUCCAUACUUAUAUAGUGGGCUAAUGCUCCAUGGAUAAUCAAGUUGGGCUAAAACCCAUAGGAUGGUUCAUGGAUGCUCCAUGGUGUAUUUGUACCCAUGGAUCAUGGAAAUGAAAGGCCAUGUCAAUUAGGGUUUACAUGGUGUAACCCUAACUAUAUAAGCAUCUUAUUCUUGACCAAAAUCGGCCACUAGUGUGUGAAGUGAAAGGGCUAGCCGAUUUCAUGAGUUGUAGAAUUCUCUCAAGUUAUUCUAAGUGUUUUGGUGAUUGUGAUUCCAUUUGAGGCUUCCACACUAUUGGGGCUAGGCACUCAAGCUUCAUGAAGACUUUCUACAUCAAAGAGGUAUGUAUUCUAUCUUGUUACACUCGUUGUUUUGUAUGCUAGAUUAGGAUAAUACCUUGGAAGUUCUUAUUUGCAUGUAUAAUAGAGAAAACAUAGAUCCAAGGUAUUUAGGGUUGCAUGUACACUUAGGAGUGUUAGAAUGCUCAAAACCCAACAGUGGUAUCAGAGCCUAGGCUUGUUUUCUUGUUAUACCUGCAAUAGAAGCUGAAAAAACGAAUUUGGUGCUGUCUGAUCAUCAGACUCGGCGAGUCCAUCAGAGGACUCGGCGAGUCCAUGCCUAAAAUGUGAUCAAUUCGAUCCAACUCGCCGAGUUGGUUCAUGCACUCGACGAGUUGGACCCCCAGACAGCAUAUUUUCGAGUUUUUUUGGCUAGAAAUGGACUAGGAACAUUACCCUAAGUUGUUUUUGAACUUAUAAACUUGUUUUUGAUGUGGUAAUGUUCAUGCUAAUCCAUUUUCAAAGAUAAUUGUCAAUAGAUUCAUGUUUUGUAUUAGUUUAAGGUUUAGACUAAUUACAUGAAAAAGUUUGAUUUGAAUUAUCUUGUUCUUAUGAGUUGCUUAGAUUAAUAGAAAUGUUGAGUGAAAUAGUUGUUUUCAAUCCAUUUUAAUCUAAGAGUUGAGUAUAAAAUGUGUUUGUGUAACUUGUCCUCAAGUUACAUGAAGAGUCACAUUAAAGACUCAUAAAACUCAUAAAAGUUGGCAAUGGUUACAAAAUGAAGAGUCUUGUGUCAUUGAAUAAUUUUUUUUGACUCCAUAACUUGUCCUCAAGUUAUGGAAGUUCAAGAGUCACUUCAUUAAAGAAAAAUAUGUAACCAUAAUUAAAUCCAUAAGUUAUAAAAUAAAGAAAAAGUUAGUUCUUUUAUUAGUUUAAAGUCUUCCAUAACUUGUCCUCAAGUUAUGGAACUUGAAGAGUUUUUGGAUUAAAACUACUUUAAACACAUAAGUUAUGGAAUUAAUUAGUUUUGAAUAGUUUCAAAACUUGCCCUCAAGUUUUGGAAUUUGAAAAGUUUUCAAGUAUGAAUACUUUAAUUCCAAGUUAGCCCUUAGAAUUUUAAAAGUUAAAAUUCAACCCUUAUACUUUAUAAUAUUAUAAGUUAAUAAUAUAUAUAUGUAUAAGAGUAAAGUCAGUCUUACCGCUAGUACGCCUCAUUCACGAAGCCGGUCUAUAAGGUGGGUAUAAGGUUGUUGCCUAUAAAAUGGCAACUUAAUGGGUGUCCACUCUCACCCACCGCUUGCUUGACUGGUGGAGGGUCGUUAGCCGAACGGGUUUGACAGGACUAGAAUUCUCCCUUCAUUAAAAGUAUUAAUGAUAAUACUAAGUAACUAAACUCUUAAUAAUACCCAAUCUUAGUUACUUAGGAAAAAUGUGAAUAAGGUGCUAAUCCAUGAAAUUACACUUUACACUUUGUCUAAGUCGUUAGUGGAGCGUGUGUGGUUAACCGGCACACUAACUUGGACUUAACAAGGUAGGUAAAGGGUGACUUAAUAUUUAUCAUAGUAUCGAUGGAGCGUGUGUGGUUAACCGGCACAUCGAUUGAGGGGUAAUUUAUUAAGGGUACCAAGUGAUUUGCAUGGUUACUUCACACCUUGUUUUGUGAUCCUCGGCAUCCCAGUCACAAAACCUGAAGGGCACACUCGAGAUUGAAACAUGCCUUUGAAAAGUUCAAUGAAUCUCAAAGAUCUAGGAGUUUCAAAACCAAUUAAAACCUAAUAAUACAUUUCGUUUAUCUUGGUGGAAAUUGGUGAAUCGUCAUUCACCUACCUUCAAAUAUUUUAUAGCUUGGAUUACGGCAUACCUCUUCUAAGUUAUAAAAUAGUUUGUUGGGUCCUAGCCUUAAUAUUUCAUAUUGGGUGUCAUAUUAAGGACUUUAAAUCAACUAUCUUGAAUAUCUCCCAAAAGAUGUCUGGUUUAGACACCUAUGAUCUUCCCAAAUCUCUUGAAACAAGGUUUCCUAAUGAAGAUGAUGUCCCAUGGAUAUCAUACUUCUUCACCUCUUCAAAUUAUUCUCCCUAACCCACAAGUUCUUGAAAAGUUUAAGGUCACUCAGGCCCUAUUGGCAAGGCAAGGUCUAGGUGUGGUCACAUCUUGGAGAUGUAGUCACAUAUUGACAAGCCGGGAGAGUUGGGUGUCAAAGUCUUGAGAAAGUUGGUGGUUCAACCACUUUCUAAGUCACAUAGUGAGUUCCUUUGGGACACCUAUGAAACAGACUAUGACAAGACCCUUAAUGAUCUUAUCUAUUUGCUAAGAUCAACUUCCUAAAACUUUAUGGACAUUGACAAUGAUGACAUUGGAUAUCCAGUAAAGCAUUCUCUUCCCAAUGGAAAGGGAUCGGCCAUAGUCAACUCGGUUGACCAAAUGGUAAAGAGAAAAGCUAAGUCUGUGAUAGUCCCGUGUACCAUUAUCAAAGGGUCCAUAUGUUUAUAUUGCCAAAGGAAGGGGCAUUGGUUGCGAAGCUGCCAAAUUUACCUAAGGAUGUUAAAGUCAAUAAGUUUGACUCUACUUCAGGUAAAGUCCACUAUCUAACUCUGUUAAGUUUCUAUUCUGAGAUUCUUGAUACAUGAUGUGACUGGGUCACAUGGUGAUGUUUUAAGAAUCAAAGAAAAGUGAAGAAACUUAAAGAAAGAAUAUGCUGAAUCUGAUGGCGUAGAUGGAUUUCUAUCGCAUAGUUUGAAGAUCGGAUUCUUGAGCUACUUCUUAGGAGUUAUGAGAUAUUGCUUAGGAAUAGAUAACAACAAGUUUUCAUAUGGAUUGUAAGGAUAAGUUUUUCCGCAAAGUUUUAAAAUAAAAGAAAAUUUUUUAUAUUUUAUUUAUUUUAAAAUAUCCUUACAAUGGCAUUUGAGGAAAAAUUGUUGCUUAUAUGAUUCCAUUAAGAGCAAGAGUGGAAAUAUGAAAUUGAUUCUUUCAUUUGUGGUAAUGUCUAAAUUUACCAAAUAAGGAAAGAUUCUCAUCACCCAAGUUUCAAUUGGACCGGAACUUGGAAUCAUGCAAGUUGUAUAGCAUGAUGAAUGAGAACUUUCAAGUUUUGGAAAAUUAAGACUAAUUACUUGUUCACAUGGAUGUGUGAGUCAAGUAAAGGACUUAGGGAUCGAGUACACAUUCUUGUGCACUGAUUAAGUCCACCACUAAAGAUCGAUAAGAAGAAUCAAAUAAGGCAGAAGGAUAAAAGUUUCUCAAAUCUGAAAAGAUGGGAGAGUACUUUAGUAUCAGUUUUGUGAUCAUCUUAAUGAUUAAGAAACCAUAUCAAAAUUAGUUCUCUAAGGAAAUCUUAGUGCAUUCUUAUGACUAAGAAGAGGAACUUGAAUUGUUGAAAUGGUUAAAUCAAGAAGAUGAGUCAUACUUCGUUCCAAUACAAGUCUUAGAGUCAUACUCCAAGAUUGUCAUUUGAGUGACAUGUCUUAAAGAAGGUUUAAAACACUUGUCAAAUGUAAGAGUAAAAGUUUUCUACUCUUGUACAUUUGAAAUUGGUAAGUUGUGAUGUUUUGGAUAAAACAAAGACCAACUUAGGCCAAUUGGGUAAAGUGUUUUUCUUGAUUAGAAUCCGCACUAUCUCUUGGAUGUUUGACAAGGGAGUCUUAUAUGUCAAGAGGACAGUGGGAGUCUUAAAGGUCUUGAAAGUCUCAAGAAAUAAUCAAGAAUAAAACCUAAAGUUCUUCACUAGCACACGACUUGAGGUUUAUAACCUAUCGUGUUGACAUAUCUGUGCCCAUUCCAGUUAAAGUUGGCUUUGCAUAUGAGUUCUUAGAGUUCUCAGUUUGUUGCAUAACAACUUGGAAGCAAUGGCAGGCCCUUGAGCUGCCAGGUGGCAAGAAGUUAAGAUUGAGUUCAAUCCAUAUGGUUUUGGAUUUGUCAUUAUCUUUGUCUUGUGAUUAUGGUUUGACAAAUUCAUAUGGGUAGGAACUCAUACACCAUAUAAAUCUAAGUGUCAUAAGGUUUCUCUCCGAUUCAUGAAAAUGAUGGUGAGGAAACGCUUUCACUAAGUAGAUUUUACGAAGAUAUCAAUUGUGUUAUUUGCAUUUUCAAAAGUCGUUAGUGGAGCGCGUGUGGUUAACCGGCACACUAACAUGGACUUGUGAGAAAUGGCAAAUGCCUAAGCAAUUGAGACCAUGAUUACGGUAUCCCUUUUCAUGGUUCUUGAAAUUGCUUAGACACACAGGUGAGCUAUCUACGGAAAGGGUGUAUGAAUCUAAAUUUCAGACUGUCCAGCUGAUUUCUGAGUACAUGUCAAAGCUAGUGGGAGCAUAAGUGUUAUGCUAAUAAUCAUCAUGUUAGUGGGAGCAUGAUAAUUAUGAUAAGUAUUGCAAGUUAGCAAUGUUAAUUAUAGAAAACAAAAGUUUCAAUUGGGAAAAAGUUGUUUUGCUAUAAUUAAGGGAGAGGAAAUUAUGCUUCAUCUCAAAUCUAUAAGCUUAGAUCGUGAGGUUUUAAUCAUUUAGUCAAGGAUAUAUAUGAAUUUCAUGUUGGAAUGGCUCAACAUAAGGAAAUUCUGUAUAUGGGUCCAUUAUUUGCGUUCUAAAAUUCGAUUAUGAUUACGGCAUCCCUUUUCAUAAUCUGAAUUAUGAGAACUUGGCAAAUUGAAAUGGAAAUAUUAUAGCAAAAGACUGGUUUAGUCUUUAUGUAAGACAUCAUGAAUCGUGUCCCAUAUGCUUCGGAUAUAGGAUCGAUUACAUGUGCUAUAUUCAUCCGUUCUAAAAUUUUCCAAAUGCCUGGGGCAUUAAGAAGGGAAAAGGUUUAGAACUGGAUAUGACUAAAAGGAUUAAACAAUUGUCGAGGACAAUCUAAGGUUUACCAAAGAUUGGUUACUCAAGGACAAUUGGAAGUAUAGUGAUAAUUCUGGAAGGACCAUAUUGACAUAAUCUGUAAGGAGGCAACUCUUGUUCAGAAGUGAUAGUCAAAAUGGAAUCUGGAAAUGUUUCAAAGUUAGAAUUUUCAAUCUGUGUAAGAUUAAGGAAACUUAAUGCAAGAAGGAUAUUUCCAAGGAGUUGAUCUCCUUUGGAAUACUCUGUAAUGAUUGUUGCCAAGUCUUUGUGACUUUGUGCAUAAUCAUUACAAGAGGAUCAAUGCAUAUAAGUUUAGAAUCUAACAGAUUUCAGUAAAUGGCAUGAAUUUGGAAUUCUUGCAUUUGCAGUAAGGAUUUGGGAGUGUGAAAAGAGAAUCAUUGAAGUUAUGUUCAAUUGAUCUAGUUCACAAAGUAAAGAUCAUAGACAAACAUAGUAUGCAUACUUGGUGUGUGGCAUGACUAGUGUUUAAGAAAACAUAGUGUACAUGCUUGGAGCAUGGGACAACUAUUGUUUUAAAUUCAAGAAUAAAGUUGAUAGCUGAAACAGUAUACAAUGAAUAAUGUGUAAUCAUAUGGUGAUAAAUAAAAGGUGUUUUAUUUAUGUUCAAAGGGUUGAUACCAUAUUGGAUUCAAUUAUUAUUGUGUUUCAUUUUGCAUGUUUUGACUUCCCGAAUAAACUGGGUUAUUCUUCCGGAAUGACUAAGUUAUUCAAACCAUCCACAGUCGGUCAUAUGUUGGAAGUAGAUAUGAAUUAAGACUGUCAUGGGUUGGCUUGUAGAGGUCUAAGGUGUUGGACAAAGGGCUACAACACUCAUGAGUGCUCAUAAGUUCUGAGUAUUGGAUUCAACCCGCGCUCAUUGGAAUCACUUCAUGGAUUUUAUCACGAGUGAUCAUGAGACGAUAAUAUCUUAUAUUCUUCAAACCUAGAGAUAUGAGUUGUUACUAUGAGUUGAUAGUACAUUGAUUGCACGAAAACGCAUUUGGUAACUCGGUGCUAUAAAACGUGCCUUUGUGUAUGAUUCAACAAGUAGUAGAACAAGCCAUAUGAGUCGAAGUUUAUCCAUUCCUUUUACCUUCGGGAUAAAAGCGAUAUCUGUGGGCCCCUCGAUGAUUUGAUGAUGACAAAUGGAAGUGCUCGGCCGGGCCAGGACUGAUUUGAUUUGUUCAAUUAGUCAGUCGUCAUAAAUCGGAAAUCGGGAAACAACAAAUGGACAGAGAGAAUGAUUAUAAUCCAUGUCUCAGUCCAUAUGAUAUCUAGAAUGGAGGAAUAUAUGAUCCCUUAUCUAAUGGACAAGUCAUUGACAAAGGUCAGAGUUCAUCUACAAGGUCAGAGUUCGACAGAAGCUUUUGAGAGCUACGAUUGCCAGUUGGUUCCUGAAGUCAUACGCAAUAAUAGUUUUAGACUUAUCCAAGUGGGAGACUGUUGGAUUAAUGUCUAAGUCCAUAACUAUAAUUGGUAAGACUUGACCCGACCCGGCAUGGUCCAUUUGGGUUGCAUACCAUCAUGCACUUGGAUAGACUAUAAUGAGAGAAAUAAGACACUUAUGGUUAUUAAUAUAUUAUAAGUUCUAGUAUAUUAAUAAUAAGAAUAAUAAGAUUAUUUAAUUAGUAUUGAUCAAGAAUUAAUCUAGGAUUAAUUAAGUGAUCAAAAGAAGACUAAUUAAAUAUAUGGGUUGAUUGUGUAAAUCAUCCAUACUUGUAUAGUGGGCUAAUGCUCCAUGGAUAAUCAAGUUGGGCUAAAACCCAUAGGAUGGUCCAUGGAUGCUCCAUGGUGUAUUUGUACCCAUGGAUCAUGGAAAUGAAAGGCCAUGUCAAUUAGGGUUUACAUGGUGUAACCCUAACUAUAUAAGCAUCUUAUUCUUGACCAAAAUUGGCCACUAGUGUGUGAAGUGAAAGGGCUAGCCGAUUUCAUGAGUUGUAGAAUUCUCUCAAGUUAUUCUAAGUGUUUUGGUGAUUGUGAUUCCAUUUGAGGCUUCCACACUAUUGGGGCUAGGCACUCAAGCUUCAUGAAGACUUUCUACAUCAAAGAGGUAUGUAUUCUAUCUUGUUACACUCAUUGUUUUUGUAUGCUAGAUUAGGAUAAUACCUUGGAAGUUCUUAUUUGCAUGUAUAAUAGAGAAAACAUAGAUCCAAGGUAUUUAGGGUUGCAUGUACACUUAGGAGUGUUAGAAUGCUCAAAACCCAACACUUAUACAUGGAAUGGGGCUAAGCUACAUAAAGUGAGCAACUUUAUGUCAUUGGGGAUCUAGAGAUGUCCAGAUUUGGAACCAUAUCCUUGUGAUAAGUCCAGAUCUGAGUUUGACUCCAACUUGCACCAAAGAUGGCUAUUUACUUCCAAGAAAAGGGAUCUAAGAAACUAGAGAUCAAGGUCACAACUUUAUACCUUAGGAUGAUGGCCAAUACAAAGUAGAUGUUGGAUCUAUUCUUCCUCUCCUUGCUCAUUCCUCUUCAAGCUCUAAAAUCUUUCACAAAGGCACAAGUUUCACCCUCUAAGGCUCACACACUCUCAAGGAAGCUCAACUCUGCAGCUAGGGUUUCUUUUUGGGUUGCUAGGACGAUAAGGGAGGUUGCAAAGGAGCCAUAAGCCCUUUAAAUAGGGCACUAACCCCUGAAAAUUAGGGUUUCUUCCUACAGCUGUUACUCGACGAGUCAGGCCUUCCAACUCAUCGAGUAGCAUCCAAGUCCCGCGUCCUUAUGAUAGUAUCUACUCGAUGAGUUGGAGCACCCAACUCACCGAGUCCAUGCACAAAACCCAAAAACUUAGAUAAAUUGAUUAAUACUUGGAACAUGUGUUACAUCUUGGACAUUUUAGACCAACCUCUACCUCCUCUUGCCCUGAAAUUGAAACCCUAGAGUGAUUUGGUGAGUUUUAAGCUUUAAAGAGUGUUUGUUGAUGGUUUUUGAAGGAUAAAAAUAAGAGGAACACUUAGAGGAGUGGAUUGAGCUUGUAGAUCCAGGGUUAGCUUCUCAUUUGCAAACUUUUUGAGGUAAAAAGCUCACAUCUUGAUGAUCAUAUAUGUUAGAUCUACUUUAUGGUGUAUUUUGUGCACUUUUGAGUCUUUUGUGUUAAAUGUGAGAUUUUGAUCGACUCCAGAAGCAAUGGUUGCUAGAUCUUAUCUCCAUUCAGUCCUCGUGUUCAUAAAAUGUCAAUUUUAUGGAGUAUUUUGAUCCAUGCAUGUAUUAAGACCUUUGUUAAUCUCUUUUUGAGCAUUUGAGUUGCAUAAAGCCAUACACGAGAAUAAAGUUGCCAACUUUACGUGAUAAGUUCUGCUAUAGGACCAGAUUUGAGAGUUUGUCUUAAGGUAUCAACCGAUUAAGUGCUUAAUGGAUUAGGUUGGCAAAUUGGGGAGUACGUUGGGCGUACCCUGCUAGUAUGAUGUGCGUACUUGCCCCGGAUGGAGUACAGUAAGCGUACAAGCUGCAUACGCCUCGUAUACUCAACAAAUGGGCUUUUAGGAUUAACAUCCUCUGUAUUGGGCCAUAGUUGGGUUUGUAAGACUAGGACUGGUUGGGCCAUUAGAUCUCUGUUUUGGGCUUGGAGCUAGCUUGUUGGACUUCUUGGAUAUUAGGCCAUGAUGGGUUUUGGGCCCAAUUUGGAAGAUUUGGCCAUAAAUUAGGCCUUAGGACUUGGGUCUUUUGAAUAGUUGAGUUGGGUCUUGGCUUUAGGCCAAGAUAGAUAAAGGGUAAAAUGGUAUUUUACCCUGGUUAUGGGCCAAAUAACUUAGACUCUUGGUUGUGGUUUAGCAGCUAGAGGUGAGUUUCCUCAAUGUGUUUAGCUAGUCAAAGGCACCAAUGUUGGCCCAUGGUUUAUUAUGUUAGGGUGCUAGAUGUCUGCGUGAUUCUUGCAUGUGCUAUGUUCUUGUAUGUUUAUCGGGAAAGACCUGAUGACUAUCAUGUAUGCUAUUAUAUUUAUGAUUAUUGCAUGUGUUUGUAUGAUUGUAUGUUUAUAUGUUAUAUGUAUACCAGGCGGGGCCCAAUCCCAGGUGAGGCUUGAUGACUGACAGAUCUGUAUACUGAGCUGGGCUUGAUAUUGGGAGGGCCCAUUAUGAGUUUAUUAUGUAUGGUAUGUGGUACUUUAGGGAGCUCAUUAAGCUUUGUGCUUAUAGUUUUUAGUUUAUGUUUUAGGUACUUCUAGUUCGAAAGGGAUGAGCCUGGGAUAAUUGUAGUACACACAUCAUCCUGUUCUGCAUUUUAUGAUUACUCUAAUGUUUCAUAUGUAUUUGAUACAAUUUGUUUUAUCUUGGUUUUAUGAAGACGUUUGGAUUAUAGUUUUAUUAAUUUAAAAUGGAAAAUUUUUGGUCAUGAUUUGUUGGGACGUUACACGAAGCUUGAUUAGGAUUGAAGAUGUCUCUAGAAGGACUUAGAGAUUCGAUGCUAAUUGUUGGAAUCCUAAAGUCUUGGAAUCCAAACACUUGUUGAACAAGUAAAUUGGUUUAUGGCAAGUUGGUCUAAACUAAAGUUUCUUAAUUCAAUUGUACAAGUCGAUAUCAAAUGUCUAUAUAAUCUUUCAAGCUGUGUCAGGGUUAUUAAGAUUGUAACACAAAGGUUUUGAGCUAUUUUCCUUUUAAUCAAAGAGUUUGUUUGAUUAAUUGUGUUUCAGUUCAUAUUAUUUGAUCUUGAAGAUGCAUGGAAUUGAUCUAUUUAAUGGAAAGUUUGAUGGUUAGACUGUCCUCUACUAAAGAUAAAAAAUUUAGAGGAAAGAAUGAUAUGUGGGUAUGUGGUAUAGGUUUAGAUACUAAUGCGGUUGUGGAGUUGGUUGUUAUUCUAAUUGAUAAUACUCCUACACUAUGAAGGCGUAUGUAUGCAACUAGAGUUGUCUCGAUCAAUAUUGAUGUCCAACAACUUCCCCUGGGAUUCGAACAUAUUUUGGAUAAAAAAAGGGCAUGUCAACUCAAUUACCUUGUAUUCAAAUUUUAUGAAUUCGUUUGAUAAGGUUAAAAUGGUAUCUUCUCAACCAAGCAACUCUUACUAACAAUCACUUUUUUCUAAUAAAAAGUUAAAAGGCUGUUGAAUAAAUGCAAAGGUCAAAAAGGUUGUGGGGUAAGAUACGAAAGUGUAAAAAAGGAGAAGAUUGAGGUUAAAAUUAUUUUAUUGAUUAAAUUUACAAAGAGAUCGUACAUAAUUAUAAAGACAAGUAGGAACCGUAAAGAUAGGAAACCUUACAUGUCCAUUGGUUAACUAUGCCAAUGAUAAUAAGUACAAUAUGUACACGCUAACAUUCUCCUUGAAGCUGGAACAUGAAUAAUAAUCAUGGCUAACUUGUUGCAAAUAGAAGAGAUUCAUGAUCCAUAUAAAGCUUUCAUGAAGAAAUUGUGUAUCUGACUUCCUGCUUAAACAUGGGGACUAGAGAUGAUUCCUUCUUUUAGAUUUUUACAAGUGAAAUGCAAUCUACUUCAUUAUGUUUAGUCAUUUCAUGGAACACAUGAUUUUCUGGAAUAUGGAUAGCUUCCUCGUUAUCACAAUAUAGUUUGAUUGCUUUUGAUUGACCAAAGCCAAUUUCAUCAAGCAAAUUUCAUAUAUGUAUCAGCAUAUAUGUAGUCUAAGCCAUAGCUAUAUAUGCAGAUUCAUUAAUUGAUCAUGAAAUGAAAUUAUGUUUCUUACUUAUCCAUAAAACUCUUUUCCCUCCAACAAAUAUUUAGAUUCAACAAUUGAUUGAGAAAUAAGAAUUUGUUUCUUACUUUUGUAUCCCUCUAACAAACAGACAAUAAUAUAUAGUACACCAUUUGUUUUUAGGGUCCCUUUUAUAUGCAACAUAUGUGAACCCUUCGUUGACAUUAUGAUCAUUAGGUAUGAAUAUGAUAAAUAUCAUCUCAAGAUGAGGUUCAUGGAGAUGAAUUAAAUUGUCUUACAACUUUGAGCACAAAAGAAAUGUCUAGGUCUAUACUCGUCAUGUAGUUAAGCUUUCCUAUAAUUCUUCUAUAUUUAUCUAGACAUUUAAGUGGAUCUCCAUUAUCCACUUUCAAUUUGAUAUAUGAAAUCAAUAGGGCCUCAUAAAGUUUUUGGCAAUCAUCUUAAAGUCCUGCAAUAUAUCCAAACAAUAUGUUAGUUGAGACAAUCAUAUCCCUUUCGGAGUAUGUGAUAUCUCAAUUCCUACAUAUUAUUUUAAAGGACAUAGGUCCUUUAGUUUGAAAGCGAUAUACCAAAAAAUAUUUGGGCUUCUUGCCCUAUUCCAUCACUUAAAGUACUUGCAACACCAUCAACAUAGAAGAUGAAGUAAAUAACACAAAUUAAUCUUAAUAGAUUCUUUGUAAGACAAAAUGUCUCCAUAACACUAAAACAUACACACCAAACUCAAGGGUGUUACUUUAAUCCAUAUAGUGAUUUAUGCAAUUUAUAAACUAUGACGUAGUCCCCCGUAUAAACAAAUCGAAAAGGUUACUCCAUAUAAACUUCCUCGUGUAAAUCACCAUUUAAUAAGAGAUUCUUCACAUCUAGUUGGUGAAUGGCCCAUCCAUUAAUACCAUACUGGAUUGGUAGCUAGAUCUCCAAGGAAGUGUGAAACUAUGUAGCUUGAGAGGUUAUCAUGGGAAGAGUUAUUGGAAAGAUUAAAAGAAAUAUAUUGCACCAAAGAAGAAGUGCAAGACCCUAAAAUUGAUUUCUAGAUUCGAAAAAAAUAAAAGAUGAGUAUUUGACAUAGAAUAACUAUAAAUUUUGGAAGCUCUUAAGCUUUUCUAGGCGGUUGGCACCAGAUGAAGCGACUUAGCUAGCUAGGUAGGUGCUAGGUCUACCAUGGAAUUUAAAUUUUAAUUCUAAAGAAACGACUAGUCUUGAUAUGAAAAUGAGGAAUUCAAGGAAGAUUAAGAAAACAAUAGUCAAAUGGGACAAAGAAAGACAUGGAAGCUCAAGUCAUAACAAGAAGAAUGAAUGAAACUUGGUAGCAAUGGGUGGUCAUGAUCACAAGAAGGGAAGGUUUGACGAAACAAGGAAGCAUUGGGAUGGGUCUUGUAGGAUAAUUUCUAAAAGAGAGUGACUUGUUUCAAUUUUGGAAAUAAGGUUCAAGUUUCAACACUGUGUACUAAGAUCAUCAAGUGCUUUAACUGCAAAGAGUAUGAUCAUAUCUCUACAAUGUACACAUAAUCAAAAAGCUAAGGAGGAAAUAAAAGUAAGAGAUGUGAACCACUAAGGGGAAAGGGUUCAAGCUUUUUAAAUGACCAAGACAAAGUCAUGUGAAGAGAAGGAUUUAGUUUCAUGAAGUUUAUUAAGAAUUUCCAUCCCCGUGUCAUUACUCUUAGACUCAGAUCCACUUAUAGUUAUGUGUGAAAAGACUUUAUAAAAAAAUUAAUAACCCCACCAUUUUCUCUAAAACUAAGAGUAAUUAUCGGAAUAUGGAACAAUAUAUCUGUUAUAGUUAGCAAAGAAUAUGCAAAUGUCAUCGUUGAGUGUUAUGGUGUUAGUUUUCAAGAAAACCUCAUUCCUAUGAAAAUUAGAGGAUUCGAUGUUAGCCUUGGCAUGGAUUGGUUGUUAAUGUAUGAGGCUAAAAAAAAUUUAGUAAGAAGUUGGUGCGAUUGAAAUCCACCAAUGGUGACCUGAUUCUCAUUUAUAAAGACAAGAGACGUGUAGCUACUCGUGUUGUUAAUUUGAUGAAGAAACGAAAGUAUUUAAAGAAAGGAUGUCCAACAUAUUCAAAAUAUAUGCUAGACACGGUAAAGGAAAAGAAUACCAAAGAAGAAAUUGAUGUGAUGAAAGAAUUUUAUGAUGUUUUUCUUGAGGAAUUAUCAGGACUUCUCCCCCAGAUCGAUAAGUGAAUAUUCCUAUAAAAUUGAUACCAUGAACUACACAAAUUGUAAAAGAACUAUAUCGAUUAACACAUUUGUUGUUAAGCGAGCUUAUAACCAAACCUCAAGAACUAUUCGAUAAGGGUUUUAUAAGAACAACCACCUCACCUUCGACAGUUCCUAUUUUGUUUGUAAAGAAGAAAGAUGGGUCGAUAAGAAUGUGUAUUAAGAACUGCAACGUCAACAAAGUUACCAUUAAGAAUCAGUAUCCCUUACUGUAACGUCCCGUAUCUGGUAUGUUGUUUUCAUGUUUAUUAUUUUGAAGUUUUCCAGAAGUACUCGGCGAGUCUAUAGCCCGACUCAUCGAGUGCAGACGGGAUUUCGAGAACGUGUAAGUCGGCGACUUGACGAGUCCAUAUUUGGGACUCGGCGAGUCUGCCUGUCUGGAAGAAACCCUAAAUCCCCGGGUUUGCUCACUAUUUAAGCAAUGAUAUGUGCCCCAAACUCGCCUCCUUCACCCUCAGAUAGAGCCUAUGAGCAACCCUAAACCAUUCCUUGUUUGAUUAAGUGUUUUGUGUGGAUUCUUGAAGGCUUGAAGAAGAAAAAGACGAAAGGACCAAAAAGAAGAGGUGUAGAGCAAAGAUCCAAGGUCAAAAUCAAAGUUCAUUGAGGUAUUUCUCGGAAUCAUUAUGUUUUGUGCUUAUAACCUCCAUUGGAACACCUCUAAGGCUAGUUUAAUGUAUUUUCCAAGCUUUAUAGUUGUAUGGAUGCCUUGGUGGGUCGAGAUAUCCCUAGAUCUGUUCAUUUAGGAGUUGUAGAGCCCUGAUCUAUUGCCUUUUUGAUGUUGCUUUGCAUGAGAACCCUAGAUCUAGCCUUUAUUAUGCUUUUUGAGCCUUUUAAUCUUCAUGGAUGCUUAUAGGCACGUAAAGAUAGAAUCUUUACGUGUUAAUCGAGCCUAAGGAGCCCAGAUCUACAAGUUAUAUGUGUUGGAUUCAAGCAGAAUCGAGUUUAUAGUAAAUGCAUGCAUGCGGCCCGACGAGUCGUUCUUAGGACUCGGCGUGUCGAGCCGCGAGCCCCCAAUUUUUCCCCUUAUUGAUUGAUUCUGAGUGGGGACCAGUGAGUAGUGGAAUGGACUCAGUGAGCCGAGUCAGACUCAGUAAUGGAGGUACUCGACGAGUUGUUCAUACAACACGGCGAGUCCAAGGCAAUCUUCUUAGUUAAAGAACAACUCGUCAAGUUGUUCAUACAACUCGGCGAGUCGGAUGCAAAUAGCGUGAGUUCUAGAAUCGAAAGCGAUCUCGUCGAGUUGAUGCCAUACUCGACGAGUAGCAGCGAACAGGGUUGAGAAGUGAGAGUAGGGACUCGGCGAGUUGGCAGCCCAACUCGGCGAGUCAGGUCAACUGUAAGUUGACUUUGACCGGGAGAGUUGACUUUAGCUAGGGGUAAAAGAGUCAUUUCACCCCAAUACAGUUACUAGUAUUUGAUUGAGUGUGUUUGUGGAAUUGUAGCCGGGAGAUACCGGAGCAGCAGCAGAUAGCUUCCAGAGCCAUACACUCAGCAGCCAGUUCAUGAGGCGAGUUUCCUUACAGUAGGAACGGGUCUAAGGCCACAAUGCCGGCCCGUUUAGCUAGGAGUAGUUUCCGGACCUCGGUCCGAUGCAGUAGUUAGUAUGUUUGACGCCUUCCUGGCUCAGACAGGUUUGCGUGUUAUGUGGUCCGGGUUAUGGCCCGAAGCAGUAUGCAGUAUGUGUUGUUGUGUUAGUUGAUAUUUUUGUGCUAUGCUAUGUUCAGUAGUUCCGGACUUCUGACCGAUGCAGUCAGUUCCGGACUUCGGUCCGAUGCAGUUAGUUCCGGACUUUGGUCCGAUGCAGAGGGCAAGGCCCCGGUUAGUUCCGGACUUCGGUCCGAUGCAGUGGGCAAGGCCUAGUAAUUGUUAUAUGUUUAUGUGGUAUGUGGUAAUUUGGGGGAGCUCACUAAGCUUCGUGCUUACAGUUUCAGUUUUGGUUUUAGGUACUUCCGCAAGUAAAGGGAAGAGCUCGGGAUGAUGGCAUCGCACACACCACAGCUUCAUUUUUUGUCCUAGGAGAUUGUUUUGAUACUUAGUUUGAUUUGAUACAGUUGUAUCACGACAUUUUAUUAUGGUUUGAGAUAUUUGACGUAUGGAUUUAUGAUAUGACAUUCAACAUAUGAUUUUAUUAUAUUUAAAAAAAAAUUUAGUUGUAUUUUGGGAUGUUACAAGUUGGUAUCAGAGCCUUGGUUUGAGGGAUUCAGAUACACUCUCAGGUGUGUCUGAAAUCAAACUAAGGGAAAGAUAAAAAGAUUUUCAAAAGGAAAAUGUUUUCGAAAGAAAUUUUUUUGAAAAGCGCUUAGAAAGAAAAGAGUUUUGAAAACAAGAUAAGGGUGUGGUGCAUGCGAUCAGCCGAGCUCAAGUAAGUACUCCCAAGUAACCCAUACAAGUUUUUAUUAUGAUCAAUAGUUUCAGUUUCAUUAGAACAGUAUGCUAGUAUAGGACUAAGGAUCUAGUUGGAUACCUUAUGUGCCUGCUUUGUGUGUUCUAGCUUUAUGAGAAUUGCAUGUUAGCAUCAAGUGGACAGCAGUAGGAUAGCCUAUCUAGGUUAUGCCUGAUAGCACGAGCUUAGCAUUGUAUGCUAGUACAGUUUCUCAUUGCUAGGAUAGAAUUGCUUGAGUAGUUUCCGUGUCCGAAUGCUACUUGCUUUGUGCUUUGUAGGACACUGAGUGAUGGGAGUUAGCCGUUAGGUGAAUGCGCCACAUCACAUGUGAACAGGGUUGAAUAAUCUCAGAGUGUUGGAUUUGGCCCUACUGCGUAGCUCUUGUUUGAGUCUAAUCGUUGUGGGGACGAGUUCUGUACUCGAAGGAUUAUUUGAGCCUCGCCACAUGUGAUGGCAUUCAUGUAAUGACUAAUUGGCAUCACCAGGAGGCCUUCAGCAGCUGAGGACUGGUAAGGAUUGAGUCGGAUAUUUCCCUAGGGCAAGCUUAGGAUGAGUGUAGUAGAGAUCACCAGUAGUAGUAGUGGUCGAGUGGAGUCGAGGCAGUCCUUGAGGAAAGUACGGAUUGAUGUUGAAGGUACUAGGGGCCCAUACUACUGGAAGCAGAGGAUCUAUACUCGAAUCAAGGAAGGCCGAGAUGAGACCGGAGGGUCUGUAUUAGUAGUGAUCCCUCGAGAUAUAUCAGCGUUUCUGACAUUUAUCGUAAUGUGUUUUCAGAAUGGUGGUUUUACGCUCUAGACCAACAGGCGGCAGUUCAGGUGCCGGAGGAGGAUCGGGAUCAGGCUUAGGAGCCGAACAGUUGGAUGAGCAGACCAGAGAGUUCUUCACUUCAGAAGUCACUCGUAUCAUUCUUGAGCAGACUCCAGUGAUCUUUGGUUCGAUCAAGGAGGGUAUACUAGAGAUGAUGGAGGAGAAGCUAGACACCUUUCGUGCUGAGGUGGCGGCCAUGACGGAGUCGCGCACGCUUACUUUCAGGGAGUUCCGGGCAUGUGGAGCUCCAGAUUACCACGGGGCACGGGACCCCAUAGUGGGUACUAGAUGGUUGGCGGAUGUGGCCAACGCAUUCCGCUCGAGUAGAUGUCCCGAGGGGGACAAGGUCAGAUUGGCGUCCUGUCUUCUGAAGGACAGGGCACGGGAUUGGUGGGAGGAGGUUGGACAUGCCAUUGGAGAUGAUGCAACGUUAGAUGCCAUGACCUGGGCUGAUUUCUCUACCAGAUUCAGGGCGGAGUUUGCACUGGUUAUUGAGGUACAGCAGUUAGCCAGGGAGUUUCAGGACCUCACCCAGACUACAGAGACCGUGGCGGAGAUCACCGCCAAGUUCAGGGAAAGGGCUCUUCUCGUUCCUCAGUAUGCAGCUGACGAGGAAAUGAAGAAGGCUCGUUAUCAUGAGAUGCUACGGAGUGAUAUUCGCCAGUUUGUGAGCCGGUCCAGCUGUAAAACGCUGGAUGACAUGAUUGCUAGGGCUCGGGAGAGGGAGAUUGAUCUUGAGAUGGAAAGGAAGAGGAAGCCGGAGGCGGUUUCGGGUAUAGGUAGUUCGGGCAAAAAGCCCAAGGUUUUAGAUCACAGAUCCAGGAGUCAUCAGAGCCAUGGUCGAUGUGGAAAGUGUGGGAGAUUGCAUGAUGGGGUGUGCAAGGCAGGGAGCUCCGGCUGCUACAAGUGCGGUCGGACUGGGCAUUUGAGCAGAGAUUGUACAGCCCCUACUACCGCCAUUGCGACAUCAAAUCUGAUUUGCUUUCAGUGCAAUCAGAGGGGAAAUAAAAAGUCCCAGUGUCCGAGUUUAGCUACAGCGGGGAAGGUGGCGACACCUGCCCCUGCUACCUUAAGGAUUACAGAUGGCCGUCAGGGCCGAGCCGAGGUGCCAGUGGCGAAGAGUAGAGCUUUUCAGAUGACAGCAGAGGAGGCGCGAGCGACUCCUGAUGUGGUGACGGGUAGGUAUCUUCCCUUCAUAUCUGUAUUUAUGAUUGAUUAUCGCUUAUGGUUAUAUGUUUUGUAUAGGGUCGUUCUCUGUGAACGGCAUUUCUGCUACAGUAUUAUUUGAUUCGGGGGCUACCCGAUCGUUUGUAUCGCUAGCGCUUAGCAAGAGAUUUAGUAGAGCUCCAGGGGAGCUGGAUUGUCCACUAGAGGUUGAGACAGCAGACGACAGGACCGUGAGGGUCGCUAGGGUGCACAGAGGAUAGUGUCUUCAGUUGUUCGACGAGCAGUUUCCGGUGGAUUUGGGCCCUAUUCCCCUACGAGGGAAUAAGGUUAUAGUGGGAAUGGAUUGGUUGAGCCCCAAUGGGGCGGUGAUAGAUUGUGAGCUGCAAUUAGUGAGGGUUUGCACUCCCAGCGGGGGAGAGUUAGUGAUUCAGGGCGAGAUGCCACAACGGGAACCAGUUCUAUGUUCAGCGGCGAGAGCGAGGCGUUAUUUUCAGCAGGGUUGCACCAGUUAUGUAGUUUAUGUCUUGGAUGCCCGGGAGAAGGGCAAGACGACAGUUGACGAUGUUCCGGUGGUGCGAGACUUCCCGGAUGUAUUUCCAGAGGAUUUACCGGGAAUACCACCUGAGAGACAGGUCGAGUUCGGGAUCGACCUAAUUCCCGGUGCGGCUCCGAUAGCUAAGGCACCGUACCGGUUAGCUCCCUCUGAGAUGCAGGAGUUGUCAACGCAGCUGCAAGAGCUGCUAGACAAGGGUUUUAUUCGGCCGAGUAGUUCACCUUGGGGAGCGCCGAUCCUGUUUGUGAAGAAGAAGGAUGGGUCGCUCCAUAUGUGUAUAGACUACCAGGAGUUGAAUAAGGUAACGGUGAAGAACCGUUACCCCCUCCCGAGGAUAGACGAUUUGUUUGAUCAGCUUCAGGGGGCAUCUUAGUUCUCCAAGAUCGAUUUACGCUUCGGAUCUCACCAGAUGUGGGUUAGAGGCGAGGAUGUGCAGAAGACUGCUUUCAGGGCCCGCUAUGAUCAUUUCGAGUUCGUGGUGAUGCCUUUUGGGCUCACUAAUGCUCCAGCCGCGUUCAUGGAUCUCAUGAAUCGCGUAUGCAGACCGAUGCUGGAUCGGUCUGUGAUAGUAUUCAUAGAUGAUAUCUUGGUGUAUUCCAAGACUCAGGAGCAGCAUGAGGAGCACCUGAGGGAGGUGCUAGAAGUUUUGAGAAGGGAGAGACUUUUCGCAAAGUUCUCCAAGUGCGAGUUCUGGUUGCGUGAGGUGUAGUUCCUUGGUCACCUCGUAAACCAGAAGGGUAUUUUGGUAGAUCCGGCCAAGAUAGAGGUUGUGAUGCAGUGGGAGGUCCCGAAGUCUCCAUCCGUGAUUCAGAGCUUCCUAGGUUUGGCAGGGUAUUAUAGGAGAUUCAUUCAGAAUUUCUCCAAGAUAGUAGUACCGCUCACCCGACUGACCAAGAAGUCGGUGGUGUUUCGUUGGGGGCCUGAGCAGCAGGCGGCGUUUGAGACCCUUAGGCAGAGAUUGUGUGAGGCUCUGAUCCUUACCCUGCCAGAGGGAAUAGAGGAUUUUGUAGUCUACUGUGAUGCCUCAAUCACAGGUAUGGGAGUAGUAUUGAUGCAGCGAGGGCAUGUGAUAGCUUACGCCUCGAGACAGUUGAAGCCUCACAAGGCUAACUAUACUACCCACGAUUUAGAGCUGGGGGCGGUGGUGUUUGCCCUCAAGAUUUGGAGACAUUACCUCUAUAGGGUCCGUUCUACCAUUUACACGGAUCACAAGAGCUUGAGGUACCUAUGGAUCAGCCGAAUCUAAACAUGAGGCAGAGACGGUGGUUGGAUGUGCUGAAGGAUUAUGAUUGUGAGAUCCUUUACCAUCCAGGGAAGGCCAACGUAGUGGCCGACACCCUAAGCCGCAAGGCGACAACAGCCCCCAUCUGGGACUUAUGUUUGAGGAUGACGGUGAUUACUCCGUUGUUGGAGCGGAUCAGAGAGGCUCAGGUUGAGGGCCUCAAGGAGGAAAGGCAGAAGUGCGAGAGGAUAGUGGGCCGAGUAGCUUCGUAUGAUUAUGAUAGUCGAGGGUUGUUGACUCUUCACGGGAGAGUGUGGGUACCGUACUGGGGCGGAGUACGGAAGGUGCUGAUGGACGAGGCUCAUAAGUCUCGAUUUUCUAUCCACCCCGGGGUGACGAAGAUGUAUAGAGAUCUUCGACCCGAUUACUUGUGGCCCUGCAUGAAGCGGGAUGUAGCCUGGUAUGUAGAGAAGUGCCUGACCUGCAGGAAGGUCAAGGCAGAACACUAUAGGCCUCACGGCAAGAUUCAGCCGUUAGACAUUCCCGUGUGGAAAUGGGAGGACAUCACCAUGGAUUUUAUCACCAAGCUUCCCAGGACCGCAUGUGGGGUAGACUCGAUUUGGGUAAUAGUGGAUCGGUUGACGAAGAGUGCUCACUUUAUACCGAUCCAGGAGAGCAUAUCGGCGGAAAAGUUAGCCGACAUCUAUGUGCGGGAGGUAGUGGCACGUCAUGGAGUGCCGGUAUCGGUGGUGUCAGACCGAGACGUCCGUUUUACUUCCAGAUUUUCGAAGCGGUUUCACGACGAGAUGGGUACUCGUCUUCAUUUCAGCACCGCUUUCCACCCUCAGACGGACGGGCAGAGCGAGAGGACGAUUAAGACUCUCGAGGACAUGCUCUGGGCAUGUGUCCUAGACUUCGGUGGCAGUUGGGAUACGUAUCUUCCGUUAGCGGAAUUUUCGUAUAACAAAAGUUACCAUGCGAGUAUUGAUCGGCCUCCCUUCGAGAUGCUCUAUGGGAGGAAGUGCAGGGCCCCGAUUUGUUGGGGCGAGGUCAGUCAGUGAGUCAUUGGGAGCACCGAAGUGGUGCUCAGAACGACCGAGUUGAUUCAGCAGGUUCGUAGCAGACUACAGACUAUGCAAAGUCGGUAGAAGAGCUACGCUGACAGGAGGCGUUCAGACUUGGAGUUCCAGGUGGGCGAUAUGGUCCUCCUGAAGGUCUCACCCUGGAAGGGUGUCAUCAGGUUCCGGAAGAGGGGCAAGUUAGGCCCCAGGUUCAUUGGUCCUUUUAGGAUUUUGGCCCGGGUUGGACGGGUUGCGUAUCGGUUAGAUCUUCCACCAGAGCUUAGCCAGAUUCACAACACUUUCCAUGUUUCCCAAUUGAGGAAGUGUUUGGUGGAAGAGUCAGCGGUGGUGCCCCUGGAGGACAUUCAGGUCGAUAGCAGCCUGAACUAUAUUGAGAGGCCGAUAGCGAUCUUGGAUNNNNNNNAAGAGGGUUGAAUUAGUGAAGGUGCAGUGGCAGCACCGGAAGGGGUCUGAGUGGACGUGGGAGGCUGAGGAGGAGAUGAGAGAGCACUACCCGGAGUUGUUUGCAAAUUCAGCCGUAGCAGACUUUGAGGACGAAGUCUGAGUCAAGUGGGGGAGAAUUGUAACAUCCCGUCUCUGGUAUGUUGUUUUCAUGUUUAUUAUUUUGAAGUUUUCCAGAAGGACUCGGCGAGUCUAUAGCCCGACUCGUCGAGUGGAGACGGGAUUUCGAGAACAUGUAAGUCGGCGAAUCGACGAGUCCAUAUUCGGGACUCGGCGAGUCUAUAGCCCGACUCGUCGAGUGGAGACGGGAUUUCGAGAACAUGUAAGUCGGCGAAUCGACGAGUCCAUAUUCGGGACUCGGCGAGUCUGCCUGUCUGGAAGAAACCCUAAAUCCCCGGGUUUGCUCACUAUUUAAGCAAUGAUAUGUGCCCCAAACUCGCCUCCUUCACCCUCAGAGAGAGCCUGUGAGCAACCCUAAACCAUUCCUUGUUUGAUUAAGUGUUUUGUGUGGAUUCUUGAAGGCUUGAAGAAGAAAAAGAAGAAAGGACCAAAAAGAAGAGGUGUAGAGCAAAGAUCCAAGGUCAAAAUCAAAGUUCAUGGAGGUAUUUCUUAGAAUCAUUCUGUUUUGUGCUUGUAACCUCCAUUGGAACACCUCUAAGGCUAGUUUAAUGUAUUUUCCAAGCUUUAUAGUUGUAUGGAUGCCUAGGUGGGUCGAGAUAUCCCUAGAUCUGUUCAUUUAGGAGUUGUAGAGCCCUGAUCUAUUGCCUUUUUGAAGUUGCUUUGCAUGAGAACCCUAGAUCUAGCCUUUAUUAUGCUUUUUGAGCCUUUUAAUAUUCAUGGAUGCUUAUAUGCACGUAAAGAUAGAAUCUUUACGUGUUAAUCGAGCCUAAGGAGCCCAGAUCUACAAGUUAUAUGCGCUGGAUUCAAGCAGAAUCGAGUUUAUAGUAACUGCAUGCAUGCGACUCGACGAGUUGUUCUUAGGACUCGGUGUGUCGAGCCGCGAGCCCCCAAUUUUUCCCCUUAUUGAGUGAUUCUGAGUGGGGACCAGUGAGUAGUGGAAUGGACUCAGUGAGCCGAGUCAGACUCAGUAAUGGAGGCACUCGACGAGUCGUUCAUACAACUCGGCGAGUCCAAGGCAAUCUUCUUAAUUCAAGAACAACUCGUCGAGUUGUUCAUACAACUCGGCGAGUCGGAUGCAGAUAGCCUAAGUUCUUGAAUCGAAAGGGAACUCGUCGAGUUGAUGCCAUACUCAACGAGUAGCAGCGAACAGGGUUGAGAAGUGAGAGUAGGGACUCGGCGAGUUGGUGGCCUAACUCGGCGAGUCAGGUCAACUGUAAGUUGACUUUGACCUGGAGAGUUGACUUUAGCCAGGGGUAAAAGAGUCAUUUUACCCCAAUACAGUUAUUAGUAUUUGAUUGAGUGUGUUUGUGGAAUUGUAGCCGGGGAGGUACCGGAGCAGCAGCAGAUAGCUUCCAGAGCCAUACACUCAGCAGCUAGUUCAUGAGGUGAGUUUCCUUCUAGUAGGAACGGGUCUAAGGCCACAAUGUCGGCCCGUUUAGCUAGUAGUAGUUUCCGGACCUCGGUCCGAUGCAGUAGUUAGUAUGUUUGACGGCUUCGUGGCUCAGACAGGUUUGCGUGUUAUGUGUUCCGGGUUACGGCCCGAAGCAGUAUGCAGUAUGUGUUGUUGUGUUAGUUGAUAUGUUUAUGCUAUGCUAUGUUCAGUAGUUCAGGACUUCUGUCCGAUGCAGUCAGUUCUGGACUUCGGUCUGAUGCAGUUAGUUCCUGAUUUCGGUCUGAUGCAGGAGGCAAGGCCUCAGUAGUUCCGGACUUCGGUCCGAUGCAGAGGGCAAGGCCCUGGUUAGUUCCGGACUUCGGUCCGAUGCAGUUUCUGGACUUCGGUCCGAUGCAGUGGGCAAGGCCCAGUAAUUGUUAUAUGUUUGUGUGGUAUGUGGUAAUUUGGGGGAGCUCACUAAGCUUCGUGCUUACAGUUUCAGUUUUGGUUUCAGGUACUUCCGCAAGUAAAUGGAAGAGCUCGGAAUGAUGGCAUCGCACACACCACAGCUUCAGUUUUUGUCCUGGGAGAUUGUUUUGAUACUUAGUUUGAUUUGAUACAGUUUGAUCACGACAUAAUAUUAUGGUUUGAGAUAUUUGACGUAUGGAUUUAUGAUAUGACGUUCAGCAUAUGAUUUUAUUAUAUUUAAAAAAAAUUUUGAGUUGUAUUUUGGGAUGUUACACUUACCCUGGAUUGAGAAUCUAUUUGAUUAAUUGUAGGGAGCGAAUUAUUUUUUUAAAAUAAUUCUUCAAUUCGUUUAACAACUAAAAGUAAGAAAUUAAUGAAAAAUUUUAGAAGACUACUUUUCAAACUAGAUACGACUAUUUUGAGUUUUUGGUGAUGCCUUAUGGCUUAUGCAAUAUGUAUGCGACUUUUAUCGACUAGAAAAAUAGGGCAUAUAAAUUGUAUCUCAAUACGUUUAAGGAAGAGAAGUUAUAUGAAAAAUUCUUAUCUACACGAAGAUAAAUGAAAAGCAUGAAGAACACUAAGACUUGUGUUUUAGACAUUGAAGGAAGAGAAGUUAUAUGCAAAAUUUUCAAAAUUUGACUUCCAGAUUGAAGAAAUAAAAUUUCUUAGUCACAUAAUCAACCAAAAAUUAGAUAAAAGUGGACCCAUCCAAGAUUGAAGUUGUUGCAAAAAUGGGAAUUACCAAAAAGAGUAACUAAGAUAAGAAGUUUCCUUGGAUUGUCGGGUUAUUACCACAAAUUUAUUGAAAAAUUCUCACUGAUUUCAUGUCCCUUAAUGACAUUGACUAAAAAGAAUAAGAAGUAUAUAUACUCCAACAUCCAUAAGAAAGCAUUUAAAGACCUUGAGAAGAAGCUAGUGAAGUGCCUAUUCUUACAUUACUAGAAAGUGUGGAAAAUUUUUGUUUUGGACAAUGAUGCGUCCGAAAAAGGAUUGCAUUGUAUUCUUACCCAAUUGGGUAAAGUGAUAGCCUAUUCAUCAUGACAGUUGAAGCCAUAUAAGUUGAAUUAUUCAAACCAUGAUUCAAAACUNNNNNNNNNNNNNNNNNNNNNNNNNNNNNNNNNNNNNNNNAUAUAUAUAUAUAUAUAUAUAUAUACACACAUUAUUUGUAUGAAAUAAAAUCUCAUUUGUACGCUGAUCACAACAGUUUACACUACUUGCUUACUCAUAAAGACUACGAUUUUUAUUAUGAACUUGUAUAUCAUUCUAACAACGCUAACAUAGUGGUUGAUGCUUUAAGUAGAAAAGAAAUAAAGGAAAAAAGGUGGUUAAGUGUCUAAUAAUUUAUGUGAUACCAUCCAUUGUUGAAGCUUUGAAAGAGGGACAAUAAAUACAAGUAAAAAGCAUAAUUGGAAGAAACAUAAAUUAAGGAAAUCUAUAGUUUUUUAGAAGGACUCAUAUGGAUUAAAACAUUCUAGAGUCAGAUAUAGGUACCUAUGCAUGUAGAUAGGAAAAAGAUGUUACUAGAUGAGGCCCAUAAAUCUAGAUACUUAGUGCGCCUAGUAUAAGCUAAGAUAUAUAUGAAUUUGAAGUUGUAUUAUUAGUGGUCUACCAUGAAGCUCGAUAUUGAAAAAUAUAUUAGUGCUUGUUUGACUUGUUCUUUAAGUAAAACUAAGCAUCAAGAGGAAUUAUGCAAGAGGAAUUAGGAAUAAUUUUUUUUCUUGAUUACUAUUACCAUCUAUAGACUGACGACCAUAAUUAGAUAAUAAUUCAGAGUUUAGAAGAUAUGUUGAGAUCAUGUGUGCUAGAGUUUUCGGAGAGUUGUGUUGAGCAUCUCCUAUUGAUUAAAGUCUCUUAUAACAAAAACUAUCACUCGACGAUUAAGAUGGAAACAUAUGAAGAAUUGUAUGGAAAGAAGUACUAAUCAUUGUCUUGUUGGUUACAAGUUAAUGAGAAAUUAUUCAUGGGGCCUAGUUUGAUUCAUGAGACGAUUGAGAAAGUGGAAAGUAUUAGGGAGAGAAUGUUGGUGGUGGUAGGGUCGACAAAAGAACUAUGCAAACAAGAACCAUCUAAUGAAAUUUGAAGUAAGUGAUUAAGUACUAUUGAAGGUGUCACCAUCGAGAGGGUAGAUAUAUUUGGAAAGAAUAUGGAAGUUGAAUCCAAGGUAUAUUGGGUCAUUGAAUGUGUCAGAAAGAAUUAGGAAACAAUCUUAUCAUUUGGAGUCACCUUAAGAGUUGCAUGGAAUUCAUAAUAUAUUUAAUGUGUCUUAUUUGUGGAAGUUAUGUUUUAGGGAACAAUGGUUACCAAUGUGUGAAAGUUAAGAUUUGGUUCUUGUUGACUAAAUAGGACUUAGAUGUCAAAAGUUAUAUCAAGGUUAUUUAGGGAAAUAUUACAGUUACUAGUUAGUUUCCAAGUCAAAAUGCUAGUUUAAGUGUAAGCUUUUGAAUUUCAGGGACAAUAUUAGACAAAUACUUAUAGUUUUGACAGUAGAUCUCCAACCCUUCCUCGCCCCCUAUUCAAACAUAUUUAGCCCCCAAGAGCUUUUCCAUGGCUAUUUUACCUUAUGUAAUGAUGAUUGAAGCUCUUGAAAGAAGUCAUUGAAGACCUGGACAUUCCCCCAACAGUCCCUAGCUUGAGAAGGUAUAUCUAAUUCUUUUCACUUUAAUGUUUAUGUUAGGGUUUAUAAAAAUUCUAAAAUAUGUUAUUCAAGUUUUAUUCUAUGUUUUAUUGGAGUUUAUUAACUUCAUUCUCCUAUUUGAUUUAAUAUUCAAACAACAUCUCCUUCAUAGACACUUGAAUAAAGUUUUAAUUGAGAUUUAGGGGUUUCCUAACCUUAUAGUUUUUUUGGGAUGACUUGGAGGGUUUGGGCACUUAGUUGCAUUGCAUAGUGUAUAUUGUACUUAUUUUGUUUUAUUGUUUUUUUUUUUUUUUUUUUUUUUUUUUUUUUUUUUUUUUAUGUUUGUAUGCGAUUUGAUGUUUAUGACAAUGUACUUUGACUUAUGUUUUAUCACCAAUGAUGAAUUUUGACGAUUUUGUUAUUUUGUUGAGGUAUGAGUUUGUAUGUUUAGAUAUGAACUUAGUGUCCCUUCAUAUGUUAUCUAUUUAGUGUCUAACCCUAGGAUUGUACUCACUAUCUUCCCCAUAACCUAACCCACUGUAUUGAUAUAUUUUUACAAGUUAAAUAACCACUUAUUGUUAGAAAUGAGAAUUCAGAAGAUUAAAGAUUUUUAGAAGACUUAUGGUUUUUGUAAUGAUGAUAUUGUUUCCUUUAGAAUUGUUUUUACAUAACUAUUGUUACCCUCUAACAUGAUGUUUUCCAAACUAAUUUGAAAGUGAUGUAAUGGAACCACGCAAUUGAAAUUUGCAACUUAUUUUGAUCGAAAAUAUUUUGUUAAAAUGUUAUUUAAAACCGCCAUGCAAGGCGUUUUGCAAUGUGAACAACAAAUCGUAAGCGGCAUUCAAAUUUUGAAGAUGUUGGCCGACAACCUUGAGGGCUAGGACCUAGCGAUGAAAAAACAAAUUCGUAUGUAAUUUUAUUUUUCUUUGUUUGUUUUCAUUUUUUCAUUUUUUAAUCUAUAAUGUAGUUUUAUUUCAUAAAUUAAUGUGACUUUUUAUGAAUUUUUGUUCAAUCUUAUAUUUUUAAUUUCAAUUAUUAUAAAUUUUAUAAUUAAAAAUAUACUCUUAAUGUGGUGGUAUGAAAAGUAUUUCCAACGGUCUAAGUUUAUCUAAUUAUAAUUGAUAAAAAAAGAAAAAAUAGGAAAAUGUUUGAAGAUGCUUAGAAUACUAUUAGACGAUUUAUAAUUAUAAUUUGUUUCUUUGAAUAAAUAAAAAAAUAUCGGUAAAGCAAACCAAAAAUAUUGGACGAUCAAAAAACAUACUCCCUUAUCCAAAUGUUGAUUGUGAUCAUUACCCACCACUCAUUAGUUUCACGACACCAUCUUUUUCACUGAAAUAGAUUGAAAAGCAUACCUGCAAGGCGAUGGCAACUCGUCUGGUUGAGGAGUAUCAGGAGCCAUGGUGCAAAAGAAAGAGUCUCGCCAGUUAGUCACCGCUGCAGUGUACAAGUCAAAGUUGCUGUGGUGCACGAACUUAUGCUUCCCGCUGCGAUCCCUAGUGUACCACUGUUUCUUCACCUCACUAUCCUGCUCAAAAAACCCUAAAACACCUUUUUUCAUCUCUUCCAACAUGCUAUCAGGAAUUCCAUGAUUCACUAUCUGGAAGAAACCCCAUGUCUCGAAUGCAUCCCUCACUUUCUCGAUCACCUCUUUUCUCCGGAUCGGAUCUUGGUUGAUUCCUUCCAGAUCGAUGGUCGGAAGACUAAGCUCUGAGUGUGAGUGUUGAUUGGAGUUUAGAUUUUCAGGUGAGGGUAGAUGGAACAUCCGAGGGACCUCCGUUAUUCCGGCAUCUACAAGUCCUUUGACACCAGUUUUGGUUUCGUCGAAAGCUGUGAGCUCAGCUUUCCGGUCAUACUCAGGUGUGCAUGGAGACAUACUAAAGAGGGCCAUCUUCUCAGUACUCUUGUGUGGCUUCUACACUAUCCCACUGGAUAUUAUCUUCAAUAUAAGAUAUUAUUCACUGCAUUGAUAAUCAUUAGUAUCAUUUUUUAUGUCGUUUUAUGUAUACUGUUUUCAUGAUUUAUCAUCUAUUGUCGGUUGGCAUUGUUAUAUUUGAUAUUCAUAAAACUAUUUUUUUUCCACCAUAAGUCAAUAAUUUCUUGUCUAAAAGUAUUUUGAUGAUAAAAUGAAAUCUCAAACAUCCUUUAAAUAUCGAUCAAAAUAUUUGUAAUCGGUAUUUUGUGACAACUAAUUUUUUUUUUUUUUUAAAUUGGUCAUUAGAUUACCAAGGUAUUCUUAAUAUUUCAGAAUACUUUUUGUAACAUCAUUUUUUCAAGAAGUUCUUUAUUUUCGGGAUUGUGGACAAUGAAUGAAUUAAGUAAAGGUAUUGGGUUUCAAGGGAAUGAGAUUUAGAUCUUAUUGGAUGAUGACAAUGUUGGAUAAGUGAUUAAAGCUUUCGUUUGUGUCUUGGAAUCAAAGGAUAAAAUGAGAAAAAUGAUGUUUUAGACUUCUUUCAUGAAUUAUGGUUUUUAGUUCAACAUGUGUUAAGCAAAAAUUAACUAGAUAGAAAAAUGGGGCUCGUAAAUACAUUUAUGUGGAUAUAAAGAUAGCCGAAAACGUAGUUGAAACGAAGAAAUUAUGACUAUUUGAAGUUAGAGUGAAAUUGGAUGAAAACUCGUUCUCACGACGUGAGAAGUGCUCAUAAAGUGAGAAUAUAUCCUCAUGACAUGAGAUGUAACGACCGAAAAAUACAAUCAAUUUUAAAUUUUUCAAAAACAUCUCGAUUCCAUAAAAUCUUUACAAAAAGGUUUUCAAUACAAAACAUUUAUCGUGUUCCCAGAAUCAUAACACUACGAAAUCAUGAGGAGCGGUACGAUCACGCCUUCGCCUUGCCACGAUCUCCUAAAGAACCUGAAAAACAUGAAACCACAACUGUAAGCCCGAAAGCUUAGUGAGAUAUCCCCAAAAUACCAACCGCAAAUACCAUACACACAUAUCAUGCCACAACAUAUCUAAACACAGAACAACCAUGCUCUCCGGGUCUGUUGUAUGACUGGUCCGCCGCACCGGCCUAUAGUCCACCUGGUCCACCCUCUGAGUCUAUCCGCNUUGGUCCGCCCGCACCGGCCCUUCAACCCACCUGUUCCACUCUCUGAGUCUACAGUAUGACUGGUCCGCCCGCACCGGGCCUUCAGUCUGUCUGGUCCACUCUCCGAGCCUUCGGCACGUCUAGUCCACCCUUUCGGGACCUAUAGCCUAUCCGGACUGCUCGCUGGGCCUACGGGACAACCGGUCCGCCCUGGGUAUCUUGGCCUAAUACACACAUCAGGCCCCGCCUCAACCCAACUCCAGUCCAAACAACCAUGUGCACAUACAUACAUACAAUCAUAAAGCAAAUCACAAUCCUCAAGCAGAUCAAACAAAUCACAUAACAUAUCAUCAUCCUAACCAGGAUACCGACCUAACCGGUCACUAGCAUAGCGCCUCCCUAUCUCUCAGGAUACCGAUCUCAAUCAGGCCUCUAACAUAUACCAUCCUAACUCUCAAGAUGCAAACAUAUCACAGCAACAACAUCACAAUAACAUAGCAACAACUACCCGGAUCUCAAUUCGAUAAGGGCCGGCCUUGGUGCCUUAGACCCUGUUGAUAUGGUGAGGAUAACUCACCUCGAAAAUGUCGACUGAGCAGAUAACCCAAGCUGCUCCGAUCACUGAUACGAUCUCCACCACUGGUCAACCACCAAUGCACUGAACUCAAAACAAUAAUCAACAAUUACUAAAAUACCCCUGGAAACCACUGAUCAACCCUUGGCCAAAGACAAGGUCAAAGUCAACCCCUGACUGACCCUACUCGCCGAGUCAACCCUAUGACUCGCCGAGUUCCCAUACUCAGAACUUUACUCAAUCCGCGACCUAACUCGCCGAGUCACCCCGAGACUCGCCGAGUCCAACAACUCNNNNNNNNNNNNNNNNNNNNNNNNNNNNNNNNNNNNNNNNNNNNNNNNNNNNNNNNNNNNNNNNNNNNNNNNNNNNNNNNNNNNNNNNNNNNNNNNNNNNNNNNNNNNNNNNNNNNNNNNNNNNNNNNNNNNNNNNNNNNNNNNNNNNNNNNNNNNNNNNNNNNNNNNNNNNNNNNNNNNNNNNNNNNNNNNNNNNNNNNNNNNNNNNNNNNNNNNNNNNNNNNNNNNNNNNNNNNNNNNNNNNNNNNNNNNNNNNNNNNNNNNNNNNNNNNNNNNNNNNNNNNNNNNNNNNNNNNNNNNNNNNNNNNNNNNNNNNNNNNNNNNNNNNNNNNNNNNNNNNNNNNNNNNNNNNNNNNNNNNNNNNNNNNNNNNNNNNNNNNNNNNNNNNNNNNNNNNNNNNNNNNNNNNNNNNNNNNNNNNNNNNNNNNNNNNNNNNNNNNNNNNNNNNNNNNNNNNNNNNNNNNNNNNNNNNNNNNNNNNNNNNNNNNNNNNNNNNNNNNNNNNNNNNNNNNNNNNNNNNNNNNNNNNNNNNNNNNNNNNNNNNNNNNNNNNNNNNNNNNNNNNNNNNNNNNNNNNNNNNNNNNNNNNNNNNNNNNNNNNNNNNNNNNNNNNNNNNNNNNNNNNNNNNNNNNNNNNNNNNNNNNNNNNNNNNNNNNNNNNNNNNNNNNNNNNNNNNNNNNNNNNNNNNNNNNNNNNNNNNNNNNNNNNNNNNNNNNNNNNNNNNNNNNNNNNNNNNNNNNNNNNNNNNNNNNNNNNNNNNNNNNNNNNNNNNNNNNNNNNNNNNNNNNNNNNNNNNNNNNNNNNNNNNNNNNNNNNNNNNNNNNNNNNNNNNNNNNNNNNNNNNNNNNNNNNNNNNNNNNNNNNNNNNNNNNNNNNNNNNNNNNNNNNNNNNNNNNNNNNNNNNNNNNNNNNNNNNNNNNNNNNNNNNUCGCUCUUUCCCAAUUUACACUUUUAGCCCUUCAACUCUACUCUUGCUAUUUCGGGAUGUUACAUGAGAACUGUGCAUCUCAAAGCUCAUGAAAAUUUUAGGGUUUUUAAGGUAUUUAAAGGUAAGGAUUCAUGUUUUAGGGUAUUUUUUUAGCCUCCAUCAUAUCUAGAACCUCUUGAAAGAAACCCCUAGCCUCCAUUUUUAAGAUUUGACCCUCCCUUCUCCUCUCUCAUCUACUUUUUGGAGUUUUUGGUGGUUUUGAAGCAAUGUUUUCAUAUAAGUUUGAUCCUUAAAGCUUGGCAAUUAGAGAUCCAAACUCUCAUCUACCUUCUAUACCUUUGUAAGUUAUAAAGUUCUAAGAUUUAUUGCAUUUCAUCUUUGGAUCUAAGUGUAUUUGGUGUUUUGGUCCAUGUUAAUGAUUUUUGAGUGAGAGUUGGGAAUAAAGUUUGCAACUUUAUUACUCUCCAAGGUCCCAACAGCAUUGUAUGUUUUAGAUCUGGACUUCAACACCUUUUAAUCAAGUUUAGAAUGUUUUCUUGGACCUCAUGGACUAGGAAAGUUUUGAUCCUUUGCCUUCCUUUUCAGCCAUGCAAGUUAUUUUGGUCAUUUAGGUCAUCGUGGUGUAUUAAAGUUUGGAUCUUGAAAGCUUAAGACAUUAUUAUGGAUAAAGUUGAAUGAAUCUGCUGCUGAUAGUUUAUCUUCUCAUGGUUCAACCGUUCCAGUACAAAAAUGGAAACCAGUUAUGAAAGUUAAGCAGGUUGCGAAGGCUGAGGUGAAAAUCAAGGAAAACCCAAAACUAUUGAACAAGUUUAUUUCAAUAUCUAGAUCUGAUGAUGUUGAUUUAAUUCAAAGUGUGAAGGAAAAAGUAAAAAUCUGGGUUUUAAAUUCUAAGAAUCUGUUUAAUGAUACUAAUGAAGGACCCAAAAAGUCUUGGGUUCCUAAAAUUUUUCAUUAAUUGCAGAUGAUGUGUGACGAGCAAUAUGAUUCGAAAUGGUAUAUUGACAGUGGUUGCUCUCGUCAUAUGACUGGAAGAAAGGAGAACUUGUGCGAAUAUAGAAGCUUGGAAAAUGCUGGAGUGGUCAAAUUCGGUAAUAAUCAUAAAUGUCAAGUGAAAGGCUAUGGAAAAGUCACAAAUGGGCAAUUUACGGUAAAUAGAGUUGCUUAUGUGAAAGGCCUUCAACAUAACUUGAUUAGUGUUUCGCAACUUGUUGUGGGCACUGGAAAUCAGGUGGUGUUUAAUGAAGAAGGCAACAUCAUAUCAAAAGUGAACACAAAUGAAGUGCUUCUCAAGUCAAAAAGAUAUGGAGAUAUGUUCACACUUGACAUCAAUCCGAUUGUGGGCAAACCAGCAGUGUGUCUCUUGUCGAAGGCUUUUAAUGAUAUUAGCUGGCAAUGGCAUCGCAGAUUGUCUCACUUGAACUUUUGCAAUAUCAAUAAACUUGUCACUGAAGAUUUGGUUCGAGGUUUGCAUGUACUUAAAUUUGAUAAUGAUACUUUAUGUUCAGCUUGCAAACAAGGAAAACAACACAGAAAAGGACAUCCAGUCAUUAUAGAUUCAAAUAUCGUAGAACCGUUGGAACUUCUUCACAUCGACUUAUGUGGACCAUCGACUGUUGACACACUCAACAAAAAGCGGUACAUGUUAGUUGUUGUUGAUGGUUUUUCUCGAUUUACAUGGGUAUUUUUUCUCAGGUUAAAAUAUGAUGUUGCUCAAACGAUGAUUGACUUUAUCAAGAAGAUUGAGUUGAGUCUUAAAAAGAGUGUUUGCAAGAUCAAAAGUGAUAAUGGUUCUGAGUUAAAAAAUCAAAAUCUGGAUUCAUUUCUCACAGCUAAGGGAAUUUCGCAUAAUUUUUCAUCACCAUAUACACCACAACAAAAUGGUGUGGUCGAAAGGAGGAAUAGGUCUCUAUGCGAAGCGGUCAGGACAAUGUUGACAUAUGUGAACUUACCUCAAUAUCUUUGGGCUGAAGCUGUGUCAACUGCGUGUUUUACUCAGAAUCGUUCAUUCAUUCAUCGUAGAUUCAAUAUCACUCCAUAUGAAAUACUUAACAAUCGAAAACCUAAUGUAAAUUUUUUACAUGUUUUUGGUUGCAGGUGUUUUAUAAUGAACUUAAAAGAUAAUCUUUCGAAGUUUGAUGCGAAGGCAGAUGAAGGCAUAUUCUUAGGAUAUUCGCAUAAUUCUAUUUCAUACAGAGUGUUAAACAAGCGAACACGAAAAGUUGAAGAGACUUUCAACUUAACCUUUGAUGACUAUUUUAUUAAGCAGAUAGAUCGCAAAUUUGAACAAAAAUCCAUCAUAGCUGAUUCAAAUACUCAAGUUGAAAAUGAAUAUUCUAUUGCUUUUGAUUAUGAAUUAAUAUUUGGUAUUCCUGAUAGGGCUAUGGAUGCUGAAAUUCAUGCUACUGAUAAUCAAACAUCAGAAUCCUCAAAACACAAUGAUGACUCUACUUGUACAUCUGACUCAAAUUGUUGCGAAAGCAUGCCUGAAGUUCGUAUGGAGGGGGAGCAUAUGACUGAUGAAAUCAGUGUUUAAGGUGGGCAUACUUUUGAGGGGGAGAAAAGAAAUGUAGAUCAACAUGUUGAGGGGGAGCAUCAAGAUAAUAAUGAAGUUGAUGGGGAGCUUGAAGGUUCAGUUGAGGGGGAGUAUGAAAUUGAUGACAAUAUUUCAGUUGGUGAAACUGAAAACGAUGAAGUGUAUGAGGAUGCACCAUUAGACUUCGAUCCGACAUAUCCACCAAUGGAAAAAUGGACAAAAAGUCAUCCCAAAGAACAAGUCAUAAGGAAUCCUCAAGAUGGUGUGUUGACAAGAGCUCAGAUUCAUGCCAAAAAAUGAGGUACUGAAUGCGAAUCAAGAAUUGUGUAUGUUUAAUGUUUUUAUUUCGAAAAUAGAGCCAAAGACAGUAAAGAAUGCAAUGGAACACUCAGAUUGGGUUGUUGUCAUGCAAUCUGAAAUGGCUGAAUUUGAACGAAACAAGGUUUGGAGACUUAUUCCUAAACCUUCUGAUGUUUCGAUUGUCGGGCUAAAAUGGAUUUUCAAAAAUAAAACCAACAAAGAUGACAAUAUUAUUCGAAACAAGGCUAGGCUUGUAGUAAAAGGGUAUUCGCAACAAGAAGGAAUUGAUUAUGAAGAAACAUUCGCCCCUGUCGCAAGGCUCGAGGCAGUUCGCAUAUUUUUAGCCUAUACAGCUCACAAAAACUUUGAUGUUUAUCAAAUGGACGUUAAGUGCGCAUUCUUGAAUGGAGAGCUAGAAGAAACAGUCUAUGUCGAACAACUACCAUGCUUCGUAAGUAAGGAACAUCCUAAUCAUGUCUACAUUCUAGACAAAGCAGUUUAUGGGUUAAAAAAAGCACCAAGAGCAUGGUAUGCAACUCUUACCAAUUUCUUGAAACAGUCAAAAUUUAAGCAAGGAUCAGUUGAUCCCACACUAUUUCGAAAGAAAGUGGGUAAUCAUCUAAUGCUGGUUCAAAUUUAUGUUGAUGAUAUUAUUUUUGGCUCAACUGACGCUGCAUUGUCUACUGAAUUCGAAAAUCUUAUGAAAAGUCAAUUCGAAAUGAGCAUGAUGGGAAAAAUAAAUAAUUUUCUUGGUUUGAAUAUAAGAUAGAAUAAGGAUGAAAUUUUUAUCAAUCAAGAAAAAUACACGAAGAAUCUGCUCGAGAAGUUUGCAAUGAUGAACAGUACAAAGCUUAGAGUGCCAAUGGCAGUGGGAACAAGACUAACUCCUUUGUUAGAUGCUCCUGCUGUUGAUCUAACACUUUAUCGAAGCAUGAUAGGGUCUUUAUUGUACUUAACUUCAAGUAGGCCUGAUAUUAUGUUUUCAGUUUGUAAUUGUGCCAGGUAUCAAGAAAAUCCCAGAGAACCUCACUUAACUGUAGUGAAAAAUAUUUUUCGCUAUCUUAAGGGGACAAAUUCAUUAGGACUCUGGUAUCAUUCAAAUUCAGGAUUUUUCAUUCAAGAUUUUUUGGAUGCUGACCUAGGGGGAUGUACUUUAGAUCGAAAAAGUACGAGUGGUGGAUGUCAACUUUUGGAUGGGAAGCUGUUGAGUUGGCAGUCAAAGAAGCAAACUUGUGUUGCUAUCUCCACUGCUGAAGCAGAAUAUAUUCCGGCUGCUGCCUGUACUUCUCAAGCUAUAUGGAUCCAAAGUCAACUUCGAGAUUAUGCAAUAAAUAUGAAAAAGAUUCCAUUGUACUGUGAUUCUCAAUGUGCGAUUCGCAUUUGUCAUAAUCCUGUACAACACUUAGAGACAAAACACAUUGCUCUUCGAUAUCACUUUAUCAAAGAUCAUGUAGAGGAAGGGAAUAUUGAAGUACAUUUUGUUAAGACCACUGAACAACUUGCUGAUAUUUUUACUAAAGCUCUUGAUGAAAAAUCUUUUGUGAGAAUUUUAGCAGGUUUAGGUAUGCUCGAUGCGAAUUCAGUGCCAAAUAAUAUCACUCAAUGAUGAAAGAAGUUUGUCAAGUAAAGAAAUGCUCAUUCAGAGGAUCUGAGUCGGAAUCAUUCAGAGGUUAUUGUGCGUUAAGAGGCUUCGCAAUGGUUCGCAUUCGCAUUUUGGGUAACUUGAGUCCAUUUUUUUUUAGAAAACACGAAAAAUCAAAAAUAUUUUCUUUUGUUUGUAAUUUUUUUUUGAAAAAUGCAAAAACAACAAAAAGAUUUUCUUUUGUUUUGUCUUUCAUUUUAUAAAAAUAUAAAAUUCCAAAAAGAUUUUGUUUCUUUUCAAAAAUAUAAAAACACAAAAAGAUUUUUGUUCUUUUAGAUUUGUGUUUUUUCAGUACUAGUGGAAGCAAGAUUCGCAGAGAACAUGCUUAGUCUUCUAUUGAAAGGUAUCAUUUUUUUGAACUAUAUACUAGUUAGGGUGUCCCUAGAAGCAUGCUGCUGUAUGUCGACCUAAGCCUCAAAUGACUAUAUGUGUAUCAAACGAAAGCCUUAAUGAAAUUUUCAUACGAAAGUUUCUUCCCAAUUAGGCUUACAUUCGCAUAAGUCCAACAAGCUACCAUACUCUUCUCACAUGAGUUAAGAGUUUUCUGUUUGGUCCAAAAAUAAUAGAGGUACAUUCGAUCUUAUAACCAAUCUUUUUCGUCACAAAAUUUCUUAACACGAUGCACACACGAAAACACAUGUCCUUUAGAUCACUUAAUAAAACCAAUCAUGAUUAGACAUGUCAUCAAUCUGUGUUAAUGAUCAUAUUUCAUGAGUCCGUGAAGUAAGUAAAACCAAAAAUUCUCACACAUUAAGGAAUUGACGGGGAAUCAUGUUCCAGAUUUUUAUGAAACAUUUGUUUCUGUACCCGGUAUUUCAUAUACUCCAAAUCAUAUUCUUUCGCAUGAGUGGUCCUGAUCAAAUAUUCGAAGCCCACAAUGUUUGUUUCCCAACAGGAUCCAACACUUAAUUUUUUUAUAUGACUAUGAUUUCCGUGUGAGUAUAUAUCUGAAUCCGUUGUCACUUUUCAAAAUGAUCCAAAGCAAACUUGUCCUUGAUCACAAUGAUCAAACAAGUAAUUUCGGUUACAAUUACUCACCUUAUGUUUAGAUUGAUAUGUAAUGAAAUUCGCAUAACCACCAAGUCAAGCCUAUAAAAGAAGCCCUUCGAUACUUCUCUACAAGUAGUCGAUUGUAUAUCACGGGAACAUACGAAAGCAGUUGAUUACCUCUCUUGGUAAUUAACGAAGUAACCUUUUCCCAGGGUUUUACUGCUUCGUGUCACUAAAAUUUGACAUCACAGAAUCCUAAAUUUUUCUUAAAAUUUCUUCUUAUCUCAUUCGUUUGACUCACAUGCACUCACGAAAUCCUUGAGGUUCUAAGUACUACCAACUUAGGCUGAUGAUUUCAAAAGUCUGGCAUAUGACUUCGUUUAACAUCCCAUAAAUGAAAGAGCCUAACCUCAAAAAUGAAGGGUUCAUUUUUGACAACUGAGAUUGCGAAGGGUUUAAAGUAACUGUUGGCCCUAGUUCCAAGGCAUUUAAUAGGGCAUGAUCAUUACAACGGCGCGUAAUUACAAGUUUUCAGGAACACGUAAGCUAGUCUCUAAUUCUUAAACGGUUCAACUUUGGGGAAAUAUAUAAAAAGGGAAUUUUUCACUGUAAUCUUUACGCGAUUCAUAAUUCUCAGACGAACAAAAGCCCUAUAAUUUUUCUCUCAAGAUAUUCCCAAGUUUUCAAAAAUGGCAGCCAAUCAAUCCAACACUAAAGAAAUUGUCUCACAACCUCUGAUGAAAAUCCAAAGUACCAAUUAUUAGGUUGAUGCUGUUGUGUCAACAUAUCCAGAGGAGUUGAAGAUGUUGAUUGUUGCUCUGAAAAGAUCACCUUUAGCUACGGUGAUGUUUAAUUCUUUUUCUGUUCCGAUGACCUGGUUAUCAAUGGCGGCUUCCACAGCAUCAUACAACAAAGCAAUAGACAUUAUCACUUUCAACCUGGUGAAUGAUAAAAGGAUUCAAUUGACAAAGUUGAUGUUCAUCAGUUUCUUGGAAAUUCCUAACUCAACCCCAUUCUUCAAACCUCAUAAUGCCUAGAUUAUUCAUAUGUUCAAUGAGAUGGGGCAUCAACCACCAUUGGACAAAAUCAGUGAUUUCAGAAAGUCAGGCUUGCCAUGUAUGUGGAAUUUUCUCUUUGGAAUUUUCCUCAGAUGCUUAACAGGACGAAGUGUAGCUCUUGACAGAGGAAGGAUGGAAGUGUAUGCGAUGGUAAUGGGGUUAUACUAUGAUCUCAGUGUGGAUUAUGGGACUCAAUUAUGGAAAGAAUUCAUUAAGAGUCUUGAAAAUACAACUAUAGAAAGGGGAUUUCAUGUGCUCGUUAUUGGAGCUUAAUUCUUCAAAAAGUCUAUGAAAAAGUCGGAAUUCAAGUUCCUGAAGGUGCAGAGGUUGUAGAGUUUACCAAGUAUCAAUGUCCUAAGGUGGUGGAGGAUGAUGAAAACUUUUUUACAAACAUUGCGAAAAUUCCUGAUACACUGCUUCGCAAAGUACAUUCUUCGCAUUAAGUGCUCAUCAGAUAUAUGAAUACUAUCAAUCCAAAUGUUCAAACUGGAGUUUUAUUGAAUGUUGAAGGUGGGUCUUCCAAACAAGCAAAGAAGUUGAAGACUGAGGAACAAACAAAGACUGAAUUACCUAAGUCUUCAGUAGGGGAAGAUAUUCAGACGGUGGUUGGAUCUGAGAAGCCUACGAAGGAGAUUAUUCCUUCAAAAUUAGGAGUUUUAAAGAAGCUUCACAAAUUGUCUCACAAGCGGACUUCUUCUGAUGAUUCUCCAACAAUUCACAAAACAUAAGUCAGUAGUAAGGGAAUUGUUAUCAGAGAAAUUCCUCCACCUACUUCUCCAAUGUCCAAGAAAAGGCGGGCCCAUGAUGUUGCGCAGCACAUUACUGGGAAGUUGUAUAAGAAGAGGAAACUUGUUGUUAGAGAUGGCUCUUCAGAAGAUGAAGUUGUUCCUGAAACUCCGAUUGUUUCGACUUCUCCGAUGGUAACUACUUCCAUUAUCUCUUCAACUAUCACUUCGCAUGUUUCUACCACAACUACAGUUCCACUCGAAGUAGUCUCUACUGAAUCAUUUAAUGAGGAGGUACCUACUUCUGAUAUGGUUUUCAAUGUAUCUGAUACGGGGGCACCUAUCACGAGUGUCGACACAUCAUUACCUAUUGUUUUGUCCACUUUGUUACCUAUUUCAUCUGAAAGCUUAAACACUUCGUUACCACCAUUUCCCAUUCCAAACCCAUGUGUUACCAUUUCACCCAUUUUUGAUCAUGUUUUGAAACAUCCUUUUACAACUUUAUUUCCAUCUCAAUCCCCUGAGGAUCCACAACCUAUAACUUCUCAAGCUCAUUCCGAUGAUGAAACAGAAGGAGGUGGUUUCGGAGGAACAUUUGAAGAAUUACACUUUGAUUCAGAGGAGGAGGAGAUACCUGACCACAUGCUUAUGUCGGGUAAACAAUUCAAAAUCUUGAAUCGCAAAUUAAAUACCAUCCUUCAGUCACAAGCUGAAUUUGGUACGAAGCAUUCACUUUCUGGUACGGAGGUUGAUGCGAUGAUCAAAGCAGAUGAAAAAAGAUUGCUUGAGAAGAUUGACUGAAAUGAUAAAAACAAUGAGCUUCGGCUGAAAGCUCAAGGGAAAAAUUUUGAUGGUGCCUUACAAGAACUGAAAAAUGUUGCAAAAGAACGACAUGUUCUCUUUGUCCAUGAUGUCAAGAAAGUAAGGGAGGAUGUAAACUUGAAAGUCGAAGAAUUGAAGCAAGAGAUGGCAAAAGAGCUUCAACAUCUAACUUCGCAAAAUUUGAUAGUGCAAGAGCGUGUUGAUAUUAUGGCAGAAGCACUUACAAAGAUUGUUAAAGACUUUCAAGCAAUUGUGCCAACUAUCGAAGCUAAGAGCAAACAUGACAAGGAGCAGUUCGCUAAGCUGAUUGAGUUGUUAGCUGAACUUAAAGCUAUUGUGUCCAAGCCAACUUCGCAAACAAUUUUAACUCCUGAAUUUCUUACAUUGAAAGUUACUUCGUUGGAGCAGGCAAUUCAAAAGGCUUUGGCUCCCAUAACGAAUUUUACUUCUCUUUUGCCAAAGAAUGCCCCACCUGCUUUCAAAGGGGUGCAAGGGGGAGAAGUAAAAGGAAGUAAAGGGGAGGAUGCGAAAGUUGUUGGGAAAGUGUAUUCAACUCAACUGAAAACGACAUUACCUGUGAAUACCAACUCAAUUCCUUCAACAGUGGUAACAUCAAAACCAAUUACAAAAGCAAUUCCUAAAGGAAUUAAAAUUGGUUCGACAUAUAAAGGAAGCUCUAAUGCGAAGACUAAUACUUCAAAUGUUGGGAAAGGAAAGGGUAUUGCUUAUGAAAAGUCGAAGGAGGAGAGAAAUGCUGAAAUUGAAGCUGAAAUAGAGAAACAGAGACAUAUUCAAAGCAUACUGAGGCUAAGAGAAAAUGAUCCACCAACAAUGAACAAAGGAGAUCCUGCAAAGUUAUACUCUUUUGAAUCAAUUGAAUCUAGAGUGUUGGGGAAUCAUAUGUAUGAUUUUGAGAAAAAGCCAAGGAAAAGUUAUGCCACUUCGAACUCUGACAUGUGGCAACUAGACUUCCCAAUCAAUGAAAUGAUGUUUAUUACUGCUCAGUACAAGGUCAGUGAAAGAUUCAAAGAUCCUGAUGAGUACACAUACUUGAAAAUUAGAUUUCAUGUUGUGCUUGGGAAUAAUCAAGAUGAAGUAUGGUCUUUGGUAAAGAUAAAAAGGGUAACUGCUUUCAAGAAAGAUGUCAUGUUCAAGAAUCUACUUCAUAACUUUCGUUAUUUUGUAGUUCGAGCAGACAAUAAACCUUUUGAUUUCUCAAUUGCUGAUUUUCCCUUGAUGAAUCUCAAUGAUCUCAUUCAAGUGGCCCUGAUUCUGAAGGAUAUGGAAGAAAACCAACUGAAGGAAACUGAUUUGGAUGUGUUCAGACUUGGUUUAGGGCAUCUCAAGAUAUUCAUAGAUAAUUACUAUGAUUGCUUGGCCUUAACUGAUGAAGAACUUGCUUCAGGAGUUGGAAGAAAGGUUAAUGUUGCUAUGGAACCUACGAAGCCACAACAGGAGUUGAUGAAUAUGUCCGAUGGUGAAAUUUGUCUCAAACCAUUAGGCAUGGUGUUCGCAGGGAAAGAUACAAGGGGAAAAGCAAAGAGAUUCUUGUUUCAAGUUGCAGAGAUUGAAAAAUAUACAACUUCGCAAUAUACGAACUUUAUUGUUCGUAUGAAUAACUGUACCAAGAAUAAUGAUGGAGACAGGAAGGAGCUGAAGAAGAUAAUCUCUUGGUACUCAGAGAUACGAAGGACAAUGCACUCUGUUGCUCAAGUUCUCACAAAUUGAGUGACUUCGACUGUUUACAAAGGGGGAGAAUGUUGAGUCUUUUUGUUGUAAAAGUUGAAACUUUGUCUUGUCUAUUUCGCAUGUUUAUUUACUAAGUCAUCUAAUGUCGAAGCUUAAAUGUCUAGACUUAGUAUUUAUUGUACACUCAUGUUUCCUAUAAAUAGGGACUGAGGAUAGAAGUAGAGAUAGAGGUCAUUCUGCUUAUUGUAAUCAGUAUUGUAUUCGAAUUCUCUGUUCAAUACAAAAUUUGCUGAUUAAUUUUUACAUCUGGUGUUCAUUUCAUUCAUUACUCAUUCAUCUAAAUCAUGAUUGCUUUCGAAAUCUCGAUUACAAUUCUCAUCACUUAUGGCCCUUCCUAAUUUCUCCGAUAAUCCGAUUGUGGAACCUACUGAUUUCUCCAAUAGUCCGAUUUUUGAACCACAAAGUCAAGAUAGAAGUCAAAAUUCACUGUACCUAAACCUUCCUCCCCCAUUUUCGUUAUUUGCUAGCCUGCUCAUCGUUGUUGUUGGACGCCUGCAGCUUACCUAGCACCACAGCAACUGUCUACCAACGAUUGUCCACCCGCCGGUUACCGCAACUCAAAAAAUCAGGUAUGGAAUGCUCCUGUUCUUUCUUUCAGUUCUUAUCUUAUUAUCCAGUUCUUUCAGUUUCAUCUCUUCUUUGAUUUCUAAAUUUGAAUUUAUUGAAUUGUUCCUGAGUGACUGAGUUAGGAAUUAGCCAAUUAGGAAUGCUCAUGUUCUUUGCUUCUUAUUGUGAAUUGUAGGUUGAGUUAGGAAUCAACUAAUUUCAAUUUCAGUUUCACUUUUCACAAUCUGUUAAAUGCAUUGAUGAUUGUUAGUUUCUUAGUUGUUACAGAUUUUAGUUCAUUAUGAAAAUUGAUUCUGAGGCUUCAGGGGAAGUUGGAAUGGCUUAAAAAUGGGUUUAGGAGUGAAAAGUAUGAAAUUUGCUAACCUUAGCUGGUAGGAUUCGCACCCUCCUAUUUAUAGGUGCGAACCGAGGGUCUUCGGCCGAAUUAGAGAAGCACGUGGCAGCAGCCGAAGCGAGGCAGGUGGCGGGUGCGAGGGCGAGACACGCGGCGGACAGCUGGCUUCGGACACUACACGCGUCGGACUUGCAAGGCACGCGUUGGAAUUCGGUUGGACCGCGCAUCGGAUGAGUCGCCUACUCGGACACGGGGCAAGCUGCCAGCGAGGGUGAUGUGACCGAACCCUGGCCAUGCGAAAUUUCUCGGUUCUCCUGAUUUCUCGGAUUUUGUGUCCCGAACUUCAAAAAUCUAUAACUUUCACAUACGAGCUCCAUUUUUGAUGUUCUUUAUAUGCACGCGUAGGUGAAAUUAUGCUCUACAACUUUUGUUUAGACUCCGUUGGCUAAUUUUGAAUUUAUUAUUAUUAUUAUAUUUUUAAAAGGCCAGGACAUGAAAAGUCUGUUAAAAAUUCAUAACUUCUUCAUCCGAUGUCCAUUUUCGUCUGUCUUUUUACCGUUGUACUACCAUUGACGAGACCUUCGAUUCUCGUUUAGCUUGCGUCGGCUAAAAAUCACUUGAUCUUUAUUUCGAGUUUUUAGCUAUCUACUGUUAUUCCAAAAUUUAGAAAAAUCAUCACUUCCUCAUACGAAGUCAGAUUUGGAUGUUCUUUUUAUGAAAAUUCUCGGUUUAACGAGGACUAUGACUUUCAUUUAGAUCACUAAGGAUAAAAAGUAGUUUAUUGAAAACUCACUUUUUACGCUAAUAGUGUUUGCCGGUUUUGUUGCGGAUCUUUGAUUGGUCAUAAUUUCUUCGUUAUAACUUGGAUUUCGAUAAAGUUUUUGUCUAAAUGUUUCUAACGAGAUUCUUUACAACUUUCAAUAAUAAAAUUUUACUUAUUUCAAAUUUUAUAUUUCGUUAAAUUUCAAUAUUUGACAUUUGAUUGGAAUCUCAUAAGACUUUCAAUAUUUUCCGAGUGAUUCUAAAUAUAGUUUUUCUUCAUUUCUAGUAAAAACCAUCAGUUAGAACUUAACACUCAAUAUCAUAUAAUAUUUGAUAGUAUUAUUUAUUUUUAAACUACAAACACGAUAACUGAACGUGUAUGUUACAAUAAGUCAAAAUCAUAAGUUAAAAUACAAAUUAAUUGAAAUAUAGAACAACAUUAGAUACAUGUGAAUACAUAAAAACAAAAAACACAUAAUGGUCUCACUUUGUAAAUAAUUAAUGAAAAUUUAAGAUAUUUAUGUUGUAAUAAUCAGAUAUGUGUGUGUUAAAUAAUAAAUCAUUAAGUAUAUUAUACAUAUUAAUCACCGAUUUGACCGAGGUUUACAACACCGCUUAGUUCAGUAAGGGGCCGAUCGGAGAGCACUCGAGAUUCUUCAACUCGCCUCGGUAAGGGGACGAGUAGCGAGUACUCGGAGGAGUAAUCGGACAACCCGACGAGUUUUACAACAUUGGCCCAUAUAACUACAAAAAUUGUAAUUUUAAGCCAGCUAUUGUGAAAAUUGGGUUGUGGGCUGGUGUCCCCUUCUGAUUUCUCCCAUAAUCCGAUUGUGGACCUUCUUGAUUUCUCCAAUAGCCCGAUUUUUAAACCACAAAGUCAAGAUAGAAGUCAAAAUCCAUAGUAUCUAAACCUUUUGCCCCUAUUGUGGCUACUCGCUAGCCCGCUCGUCGUUGUUGUUGGACGUUUACAUCUUGCAUCUUACCUGGACACUUGGUCUCACCAUUCACCACCACAACAAUUGUCUGCAGAAGACAAUCCACCCUCGAAGACGUCAAAGCGGGUGGCUUUUAUUCAGUUCAUUUUACGGGUGACAGAAGACGAUAAAGAUGGUUGUGACCUUGUCUUGUUGUUUGGUGGAAAAGCGCUAUCGGAAUAAGCUUGAUUAAAGAGGUCGAGGUUAUCAAAAGAGAGAACAAGGUGUCGAUGGUUAAAGAAGGAGUUCAAUGACGUAUCAAGAAGGUGAUUAAACACUACUGUGAACGAAUGGUAUGACCACACCGAUUAAGGGGAUGAUUGUUGGGUUAAUCGACUUUUAGCAAUAGGAAAGUUUCCUUUUUUAUUACUCUUUUAAGUUUAUUCUUGCAUGUUUAUGAGUCCAAUUAGGUUUCAAAAUUCAAAUUAUUAGUAUAACGAGUCUUUUAAACUAUAGUAUAAAUAGGCACAUAUGUUAGGAAUUUCCCCUUCUGUUAUUAAUAAAGCUUGAACAUCCAACAAAGUUGCAAAUAUCCGUUUUUUUUUCUCUUCUCUUCCCUUGUUUUUACAUGUUGAUUACAUUUAGUUAUUGUUACAAAAUACUCUUCUAGCGUACUUGAACUUGCUAAUCCGUUGAAGUGUUCAAUAUUUAAGCUUGCAUUUGUAAAUUGUCUGCCCAUUACAAAUAAUAUAACAACACCACAGUUUUGCGAAAUAUCACACAAAAACAAAGAAAAUAUCUUUUAGAUAGAUUACAUUACAUGACAUAAGACGAACAAGAAAAUAAAAAAUUCAUCAUGUAUUGCUAAAUCAACAAUCGAUGUUUAAUUGAUCUAGAUCUUAAAAUGCAAAAGAGGAGAAGUGCCAUCAAUUCCUUUUGCUCUGUAGUAAUCCACAUAUUCUUUCGCUGUUGUGCCUCUAUACUUGGCUGGAUUAUCUUUCGAAAGCAACUCCUUGAUUGGUUCAAUAACUUGCAAGGUCUCACUCAUAAAGAACGAUGCCACUGAUACUCUUGGACCAACCUUGUUUGCCACCACCUUGUGUCGUGAACUCACAAACUUGUCAUUUGUAACUAGCUAAAUUAUUCCAUUGAUUGUAAUCAGUGAUGGAUUAAAAAAAAAUAGGGGAUGCAAGUAGCGGAUGAGCAUAUAUGUAAUACUAUUAUAACUUUUUAGAGUCGCCAACUCACACAUACUCUACACCUUUCAUCCGGACCCUCAAUCUUUGGUUGAUGGGAUCUUUCUAUUAAUUCCUAAUACGGUAGGGCCAUAAGUUCUUUGGUAUGAAAUAUUAAUAUUAAAUGAGAAUUUUUUUUCAUAAAAAGACCGACACUUCAUAUAAAAAAGAUUAAUUGAUGCAGUUGCAUAC